ACCUUUUCCAACAACACCCUCAAGUGCCUCCAAGGUGCUGAGGGACGCAGCAAAGUCGUUGGCCCAGAUGUUCCUUCCAUCAACAACACCAGCGAAGAGGUACUUUCCCUCGGGGAAACCAGCCUUGACCAAAUCAAGGGUCUUGGUGCCACGAACCAAGUCAAAUCCAAAGGCAGUCACACCCUUCAACGAAGUCAGGGUCUUGUAUGCUUCAGCAGGGAUAUCAGCGAAGUAAGUCUCAACAAGAACAUUCAAACCAGAAAGAGUUGAUUCAAGUUCAGCAUAGGCUCCAGUGAAGGCCUGGAGUUUGUGGCCCUCAAGAUCCAUAACGAGAACAGGCUCGUCGAGCUGAAUCCAGGUGGCACCAGCAGCCUUAAGCUCGGUGAUCACUUCCCUGUAGACAAAUCAAAGUAAUAAUGUCAGUGUUGGAUUACCAAUAACAUCAAGGACAUGGAUUGAAAAGUAAAAGAAAGAAUAAAGUGGUUGCAUACUUGUAGACAGGGAGAAUUUUGGGGAGAAGAGAGAGAAGGUCAAAUGACUUCUCCACACCCUUGGCAGCCUUAGAAAGCAACAAGUAAGAGACUGGGCCAACAAGUACAGGGACGGUGUCAACACCAAGCUGCAUAAACAUCAAGCUUAUCGGAUCAGAACUUUAGAUAGAAACUACUUUUGGUGCACAAAAGACAACCAGCGUCAAACUAAUCUUUAACAACUAUUCUAUCAACCGGUUGUAUUUUGUGAGUAAGCAAGCGAGUAUAUUCUUAACGUAUCAACAUCUUCUGUGAAAACCAUUCAAUAUAUCUAAAUUCAAACACUGAAUCCACGAACCCAAGUCUAUGAUCUCCAAUAAAUAGUUAUUUAUUAGUAAAUGGAUGAUAAUAAUAAAGAAAGAUACUUACAGCCUUGGCCUCCUUGUACUCAUUCACAGCCUUGUGAGAUGCGUAAGAGAACUUAACGUCAGGGCCCAACUCAGGAACAAUGUAAUGGCUGCACCAAUUAAACAUCAUUACAUUUUUCCACAACUAAGAAAAACAAACAACGUCACUGCAAGACUGCAAGAUCAGAGUUGGAGACUCACUAGUUGGUGUCAAACCACUUGGUCAUCUCCAUGGCGGGAACAGAGGCGUUACCUCUAGCCAUGGAGAAGUAAACAUCCAAACCGAUCUCACCACUGGUGUAACCGUAUCUGGGUGGAACAGCACCGAGCAUGGCGGUGGUGUCGAGAACCUGGUCGUAGUGAGCAAAGGUGUUGCUGGGGAUGUACUUGGUCCCAGCCUCAGACAUCUGCUUCCAGAUGUUAGCCCUGAGAUCAGCGGACACCUUCUGAAGAUCCUCAGCAGUGCUCUUUCCAUCCCAGAAUGAUUCCAAUGCGAACUUGAGCUCUCUCUUAGGGCCCAUACGUGGGUAUCCAACAAUGUGUGACGCCAUUUUGAUUUCUUUUUUUUUACUGCAUCAAACACAAACCAAAUCAAGAUCAGUAUCAAAUAGUAAAAUACAUUCUCUCUUUCAUAACUUUGUUAAUAUAAUAAUAAUAAAUAAGUUUCAUACUCCAAGAAAGCUGCAACUACAGUUCACGUGUUAACAAAUUAAAAUAAAAUAAAAUCGAAAAGUAGAGCUAUAGCAGCUUUUGUCGUAUUAAUGAUUGAAUGAGUCCACUUCAAAGUAGAAUCGAAAACUUUUAGAUCAAAAUCACAUGCAACAUUUGAUGAUGAUUCAAAGCGGAUCUAACACAGACCAAUGAUCAUUUUCGAACGAUGAAUAUAGAUCGCAGAUCAGAUCCAGAUCUACAGAUCGACCGACACCAAAAAAAAAAAACUCAGAUCUGCAAAUGAUGAGCUCUCUCACCGUUUAGAUCUCAGUGAUAAACACGCAAUACGAACAAACGGAUCGGGGAGGAAUGAGCUAAUAUAUUUGAAUUUAAAAAAAUCACACUCGGUAAGUAAUAAACAAUAACGUGGAGACGAAAACGAAAUGAGAAGGGGAAGGGAGCUAAAUAAGGGAGACGUGGGGAAGCCAUAAAAUCUCGGAGACGUACCUCACGGAGGAAGAAUCGGAGAAAGAGGUUUGGCUACGAUGAAGAGAGAGCGAGGAAGGAGAGUGGCUCUGUGAGUUUAUUUAUAGAUACAAUCGUUGGGCUCUGUGUGAUGUGUAGAUCUGGUGGUGGAUAUUUUAAGCAAUAAUCAUAUAUUUCAACAUUUUAUUUUAUUUAGUUUUUCUCUCAUUUUCUUUCUUUCUAAUACGGCUAUUUAUGUGUUCUGAUUUUCUGAGAUCAUUUUCUAAUUUUCUUACCAUAAUUAAGAAAAUUAAUUACUUUUAGAUUGUAAAAGUAAAACUAGACCAAAAAAGGAACAUGUAUGGACGGAACUAUGAGCAAUUUUAUUUGUUCUUCAAUGUAUUUUUAGCUAGGUAUGUAUUUUUAUUUUUUAGCCUUAAGCAUUUAAAAUGUUAACAGUUUAUACAUGGAUACUUGGAUUAUUUUUUAAGAACGAACUUUUAGAUGAUAUCUUAACGAAUUGACAGGAAUAUCGUAAUUACAAAUUUGUAAAAUACCGGUAAUGGUAUUAAAUAUUUUCAUUAGUAAAGCUAAAUCAUUUUUACAGCAGUAAAGUCCAAUCAUUUAAUUAAAACGUAUUUAUAAAAGUAUAUUAAAGCGAUUAAAUAGAGGAUUAAAACGUGAAGGGGAGUUGGUGUCUACGUAUAUGAGGGAUUAGUAGUAGUGGGUCCUACGGAGGUUGGUGGAGAUUCACAUUUCACAGUGAAGUUUCUGUUAAAUACGGCUGCGUUUAGUGUCGGCCCGAAGAGUAUCGACAUCGAGGCCUGUUCCGCAGUGUUUUGAAAACCAAGUUGGAGUGGUUAUUGAACCUGAUUAUUUUUGAUGAAUUUGAUUUUUUGCUUCAAUACUUUUUGGAAUGUUAUUAUUAGAUUCAUACAAGUUAAAUUUUCGCUAGUUAACAUGUAACUAUUUCGAUGAUGGUUCAUUUUCCUCUUUAUACAGUGGUCAGUAAAUACUAGUAGUAUUCAUCUUUUUUUUUUUGGAUCAAACUAGUAGUAUUCAUCUAUCACCCACCAAUAAAAGCUUAGGCAACUGAGAUAAACUGGAUCAAAAUAUUUUGGUGGAUGAAUAUAGUAGUAGGUAAUGAAAGGGAGAUUAUGGAUCCAUGAUGUAUAUGUUAUUGUUUUAAGAUUCAUAAACAAAGUGAUGAGUGCUCUUUUACCAAAAAAAAAAAGAAAAAAAAAAAAAAAGAAGUGAUGAGUGGUCUUCAUCUUGUUGUUUGCUUUGAUAAUUCGGCCACCAAACAUUGAUUCUAUUAACGUCAUCGCUUCCCUUGAUUACAUGGUAAUUAUCCUUCUCGUCUUAUUUUACUGAAUUUUUGGGUGUAUUUUGAAUAUUAGUGAUAUUCACAAGACUCAACAGUCCAUAUCACAUACUGCUAAUAGAUUACGAAUAUAAUAUUUAUGCACAGUGAGAUAAGUAUGUUAUAUCUUAUACCAGUCGUUAAUCCUCAGUUUUAUUACGCAACUCAAAGUCUAACCUAUAGAAUAGCACAUACACUAGUUGAUUAUUAAUUAUAAAGCUCUUUUGCGUGACUUGUAAGAUUAUUCUAAGUUCAACAACUAGUUUGGAACUGUGUAGGUCUAUUUUAAGAGAUGACGUUGUUGCAAACUCAGAAAACAGUCAACAAAGUGCUGCUUUUCCUUACGGACGCCAACAAAAUGCUUAUUAAAGACUGUUUGACACAAUAUGGAUACUAAAUUAUAGGCUAACUAUAUAGUUUGUAUUAGUUUUAUUACUAGCAAUUGUCAAUCGCACGGCAUAAGUUUAACAGCAGUUACAUGUGACUUUACAAGAAGAUUUGCAUAUGCAUCCUUAAAGUUGUUUUGUCGGUGGAUUUAGAUCUACCAUCAUAAUAACAGCAAAAGUCGUACGAGCAUUUAAUGAAAAUUCUCCUUUUCUUUUUUCAUUUUCAUUUUAUUGUUCUGCAACCUAAACAAGUAAUACCAUAAUCAAGCUCAAACGAAAAAAAAAGAAGAAGAAGAUCUGUAAUAUACUUUAUGAAAUUAUUGAACUAAUUCGUAUGCGAAUUGUGAAAAUUAUACGACUUAUGAUAUAUGGUGUACGCAUCCCUUUUUUUUUGCCAUCUUGAGUUUGGUAGAUCGUUUAGUAAACGAAUCACAAGAUCCAAAAACAUCCUUAUUGCUGGCUUAUUAAACUUUGUGAUUAAACUAUGAUAAAGGAAUGCUUUUAGGCAUGUGACAUAUUACAUGAUUACAUAUGCAUUAUGAUUUGAAUUGAAAUAUGAUAAUUUAAAUAAUUUAUAAAUCUUUUGUAAUGUAUACAUGCUAAUUUAAAGAACACAAAGACUAAGAAAUUAUUCAUCUAAUCUCAAUCACAAGGCUCCAUGUUAAAAGUGAGUAAAACAUGAAAAUGAAAGCCAACCACUUUUUAGGUAGAGUCCAUUCUUAUAGAUUACACAAUGCUAACCCUAUAGCUAGAGUUGAAAAGAACAACGAUGUAGAGCAACUCUACCUUUUAGACAAUGUUCAAAGAAGAAUCCAAACAUCAAUAAUUUCUGGAAUAAAAUUUAGGAGACUAACUUCUUAGCCUUGUAUUCUCUGCGAACUCUCCUGAGCUCUACAGUCUGGGGGAAGGAUCCAAUGGUGGUGGUUGGCAGGAUUGGGAGGUUAAGCUUCUUCUGCUGAGCAUCUAACCUAGCGCUAACAUUAGUUGCACGACGGUGGUCUGAGCCCUUCAAAGCAGCAGCCUGAGAUAACAAAUCAGAAACCAUCUCGAUCAAUAAAUGCUAAGGAGAAAUCAGUGACUGUGGAGAUGGCUGAGGUUUGCGCCAAACUUACAGCCUUCUGGACACCCUCGUUGGUGACUCUUGGGGAAGACCUCCUUGAAGCCAAAGCAGCAGCGUUGGCGGAGAAAAGGGCCUGAAAGGGAAUACAAUAUUAGCAUUCUAGUGUUUACUAAAUCAUUUACAUUGCAAAACUAUUCAAGGAUUUAAUAAAGUAGGUGGAUAAAAUUUCUACCUCAUCCUUCUGACCAGCCAAAGCCUUGGCCAGUGCGUUCACUUCAACGAUCUUCUGGGCAGCAAACGCCAACCAUGACUUGAUUUCGUCGUCAAGCUUGGUCUCGUUUACAAGAUCGACAGCGGUGUGGAGAAGAGAGCAGGAGGUUGAGACCACAAGCUUGUCUGAAUCAAUGCAGAAAGAUAACAGAUCAACGUUUGAAAUAUUUGUUUAGUAUAUUUUCGGGUGACUCAGGUAAAAGGCAGGCGAUUCUGGAAGCACUUAUUUACCUUUUCCAACAACACCCUCAAGUGCCUCCAAGGUGCUGAGAGACGCAGCAAAGUCAUUGGCCCAGAUGUUCCUUCCAUCAACAACACCAGCGAAGAGGUACUUUCCCUCGGGGAAACCAGCCUUGACUAAAUCAAGGGUCUUUGUGCCACGAACCAAGUCAAAUCCAAAGGCAGUCACACCCUUCAACGAAGUUAGGGUCUUGUAUGCUUCAGCAGGGAUAUCAGCGAAGUAGGUCUCAACAAGAACAUUCAAACCAGACAGAGUUGAUUCAAGUUCAGCAUAAGCCCCAGUGAGGGCCUGGAGUUUGUGGCCCUCAAGAUCCAUGACAAGGACAGGCUCGUCAAGCUGAAUCCAGGUGGCACCAGCUGCCUUAAGCUCUGUGAUCACUUCCCUGUACACAAAUCAAAGUCAUAAUAUCAGUGACAUGUUAGACGAUCAUUCAUAACUAAAAUAAAAAGGAAGUGAUUUCUUACUUGUAGACAGGGAGAAUUUUGGGGAGAAGAGAAAGAAGGUCAAAAGACUUCUCUACACCCUUGGCAGCCUUAGAAAGCAACAAGUAAGAGACAGGGCCAACAAGUACGGGGACGGUGUCAACACCAAGCUGCAUAACAUAAAGUUUUAUAGGAUCAGAACUUCAGAAUAGCAAUCUAGCAGAUGAAAGAAAGAAACCUACUUUAAGUGUACAAACGACAAUUAGCAGAAGAACAAGAAACUACUUUAGGUGUCAAAACACAACCAGAGUCAAAUUAAUUUAUAUCAGCUAUUCUAUCAAGUAACUGGUGUUUAUGAAUGUGCAAGUGAGUAUAUUCUUAAUUCAUCACUUGUCUAUGUGAUUAUGUGAAACAGCGUUCAGUGAAUCUAAGCUCAAACAGUAAAUCCUGGAACCAAAGCCUAUUAUCUCUAAUAGAUUAGUCCUAAAGCAGACUGUAAAAUUCAUAAGAAAUUGAAAAUAGCGAAGAAUAAUACGUACAGCCUUGGCCUCCUUGUACUCAUUCACAGCCUUGUGCGAUGCGUACGAAAAGUUAACCUCAGGGCCCAACUCAGGGACGAUGUAAUGGCUGCAUCAACAAAACAUCAUUACAUUAGUCCAAUAUUCAAAAAAAAAAGCCCAACUAACAAUGUCGCUGCAAGGGAGACGAGACUCACUAGUUGGUGUCAAACCACUUGGUCAUCUCCAUGGCGGGAACAGAGGCAUUUCCUCUAGCCAUGGAGAAGUAAACAUCCAACCCAAUCUCACCACCGGUGUAACCGUAUCUGGGUGGAACAGCACCGAGCAUGGCGGUGGUGUCAAGAACCUGAUCGUAGUGAGCAAAGGUGUUGCUUGGGAUGUACUUGGUCCCAGCCUCAGACAUCUGCUUCCAGAUACCCGACCUGAUAUCAGCAGACACCUUCUGAAGAUCCUCAGCAGUGCUCUUCUUAUCCCAGAAUGACUCCAACGCGAACUUGAGCUCUCUCUUGGGGCCCAUACGUGGAUAUCCAACAAUGUGCGACGCCAUUUUUGAUUUUCUUUAACUGCAACAAACAAAACAAACAAGAUCAAUAUCUCAUAUUUAAAUAAAAGAUUUAUUAAUAUAUAUAAUAAUAAGGCUAAGUUACUGACUCCAAGAAAGCAGCCAACAACAGUUCACGUGUACGCAAAAAAAAAAAAUAUCGAAAAGUGUAGCAGCUUUUUGUCGUAUUAUAUGAUUGAGAUAAACGAGACGAGUCCACUUCAGAGUGGAAUUUGAAAAGUUUUAGAUCAGAUCACAUGCAACAUUUUAUCACUAGGAGAUGAUCUAAAGCGGAUCUAACACACACGAGCUCAUAACGACGACCAUUUUCAAUAGAUCGCAAAUCAGAUCGAGAACCAGAUCUACGAAUCGAAUAACACUAGAAACUCAGAUCUGUGACUGAUGAAGUCUCUCACCGUUUAGAUAUACACUACGAACAAACAGAUCGCGGAGAAAUAGAACCAAAUAUGAUAUUCAAAUCUAAUCACAGUCGAGAGAGUAGUAAUAACAAUAACAACAACGUGGAGACGAAGAACGAAAUGAAUAACGAAGGGGGAAGCUAGCUAAAUAAGGGAGAACGUAGGGAAGGUAGAGAAACUCGGAGACGUACCUCACGGAGGAAGAAUCGGAGAAGAGAAGAAGAAAGGGUUGGCUACGAAGAAGAGAAGGCGAGGAAGGAGAGUGGGCUUGCGAGUUUAUUUAUAGCAAAAACAAAUAAUGAUAGAUCGUUGGGCUCUCUGCAUUAUUGUCUAGAUCUGGUGGUUGAUAUUUUCGGCAUUUAUCAUUUAUUUUUCAUUUUAUUUUCUUUUUACGGCUAUUUAUUUGCAUUUAUUUUCCUACAAUAUAUUUUCUUACCAAAAGUGUGGAAAAUUAAUAAGUAUGAAUAAAGCUAGUAAAUACGAUUCUAUCAGUACUACAACAUACCUAUCACCUUUUCAUUUUAUUUUCCCACAAUAUGUUUUGAUUUCAGAAAAAAAACAGUCACUAAUUUUCUUUAUUUGUCUCCCUCACCACAUAUUAUUUAUAAUUAAAUCAUAUAUAUACUCGAAUACUAAAUAAAAUAAAUUCAUAUAAAACUUAGUUAAAAAAAUUAUUAGUAAUUUAUGUUCUUCAAUGUAUUUUAGUUGCGUAUGUAUUUUGGCUUGAAAUUUAAAAAUAUGAACAAAGUAAUAUAUGGUUCACUAAAACGGAUCUUUAGAUAAUAUCUUAACUAAUUAACAGAAAUAUCUUAGCUUCAAAUUUGUAUUAGUAGUUUGGAUUAGUAAAGAUCAAUCUAUUUAUUUUUACUGUAGUAAAUCCUAAUCAUCUAGUUAGUCGUAUUAAGAAAUUAAAUAGAGAAUUAAAACGUGAAGGGGAGUUGGUGGUGUGCGUGGAGCGAUUAGUAGGUGGCAUGGGACCCACGGAGGUUGGUGGGGAUUCACAUUUCACAGUGAAGUUUCUGCUAAAUACGACGGCGUUUAGCAUUCAGCACGAAGAGUAUCGACAUUGAGCGCUGCUCGUGCUCGGCAGCGUUUUGGAAACCAUGUGGAGGUUGAAGCUGACUAUUUUUGAUAAAAUAAAAAAUAAAUUCCCAUAAUUUGACUACUAAAAAUACAUUUUAGGUUAGUAAAUACAAUAGUCAUAAUCAUGAUAUUUAUGUUUUUAUAGAACUGGCCGAGAAAAAUAUUAUGGUUGGUGACUAUAGUUGGUGGAGAAGGAUUGUGGCCCCACAAUAUAUAUGUAAUUGUUUAAGAUUCAUAAGCAAAGUGAUGAGUGGUCUUGAUGUUGUUGUUUGCUGAUGAUUUGGCCACCGUAUAUUGAUUCUUAACUUAUAUUAUCUUCAUCGCUUCCCUUAAUUACAUCUUACUUUUUCCUUCUAAUCCUAUUUUGAAUUUUCUUUAUGUUUUUAUGAAGUUAAAUCUUGAAUAUUAAUGAUAAGCAAAAAAAUUUUGACGCUUGCAAAAUAAACUUUGUAUAGACAUCUUAAGAACCUCACUGUUUCUCAAGCUUGCGUUAGGACAUUCGAAGGACUAAAAGUCUAUAUCACAUACUAGUAGUCUAAGAAAUCUAUGCAUAGUGGGAUCGAUAUGGUUUUUCUCAUACCAAUCAUUGAUCCUUAAUUUUAUCAUGUAGUUCAAUGUUUAUAGAAGUCUAACCAUAGUACAUACACUACUUUAUUAAUGUAUAAGCUCUUGUAGAGGGAGUCGUGAGUAUGGUCCAAGUUCAAGAACUAGGUUGGACUUUUUGAGUACCAUUCUCUUGUAUCGGAAACUGUGUAGGUGUGUAUUUCGAGUUUAAAAAAUAAUAAAAUGUAGAAGAUGGUGAUGCUGCUCCAAACCGACAAUUCAGGGCCUGACUGGUUCAACCGCAGCGGUUGCGGUUGCGGGAGUUUGCGGAUGCGGGUGGUUGCGGUUUCUAGCGGUUUUAAGAGAUUCGUACGACUGGUUAUGCGGUUAGAAAUUGGUAAACUCCGAAAACACAAGGCAAAGAUCAAUCUCUAGAUGCCCUGGGAUAUCUAUUCGAAAAAGUUUCCAUACUUGGAGAAGAACCAAUCUUUAUUUCCUUUCAAUACACCUUUUUUAGCUUCCAUACUUGGAGAAGAACCAAUCUUUAUUUCCUUUAAAUACCCCUUAGAAAAAAAGAUAUGUUUCAUAAGAGAAAUGAAGGAUACAAAACGAGAAACACAAAACAAAUCCAAAAGAUACAUAUCUCUCAACUCUCUCAGCAAGAGGGGAAACCAUAUGCAUCAAACCUAACUUCAACUAGAUAUUUUUAGAAAGGUAAUUAAACAAAACAAAAACACAACCAUUAUAGAGAAAAAGAACUCAAGUAUCCUUCUUCAAAUCAUUCAUCUCUUUUCAAGCUUUUCUUCACUUGGCACUGGCGAGCUGGGAGCGGAUGAGUUUAGCCGCAUCAACCAUGUUCUUCAGGGCAGGCUUGACCUCUGUGUACUUACGGGUCUUGAGACCACAGUCAGGGUUAACCCAAAGGAUGUUCUGCUCAAGAACAGCAAGCAUCUUGUUCACUCUCUCUGCGAUUUCCUCAGUUGAUGGUAUUCUUGGAGAGUGGAUGUCGUAGACACCUGGACCAAUUCCAGCACCGUACUUCACUCCUUCACGGAACACAGAGAGAAGCUUCUCAUCAGAUCGGGAGUUCUCGAUGGUGAUGACAUCAGCAUCCAUGUCGAUGAUGGAGUGUAUGAUGUCAUUGAAGUGAGAGUAGCACAUGUGAGUGUGGAUCUGCAUAAUAACACCACCAUAAGAAAACGGAAAAAACACUUCACUCUAGUAUAUACGAGCGAUAUGUGUUUGAAGGAAGCAAACCUGGGUGGUGUCUUGGACUCCACAGUUGGUGAUUCUGAAGGAGUGAACAGCCCAGUCCAAGUAGAAAGCAUGCUCGGAUUUCCUGAGUGGUAAUCCUUCUCUGAGUGCAGCCUCAUCGAUCUGAAUGACAUUAAUACCACCUUUCUCAAGAUCCUCGACUUCGUCCUUGAUGGCCAGAGCGAUCUGGUAACAGGUCUCGUGCCUACAAAGUUUUUCAGAUAUAUACGUUUUAGUCAUUUUGUUGUAAGCUGUGUUUGUUUCAGACUUGAGAGUUUUUAUUUUGUGUACCUGGGCUGGUCAUUUCUGACAAAGGACCAGUUAAGAAUGGUGACAGGGCCGGUAAGCAUUCCCUUCAUUGGGCGAGAGGUCAUGCUCUGAGCCAUUGCGGACCAGAAGACGGUCAUUGCCUUGGGACGGCUCACAUCACCGUAGAUAACUGGUGGCUUCACACAACGAGAUCCAUAAGAUUGGACCCAUCCAUUUGCGGUGAAGGCAAAACCAGACAACUGCUCCCCGAAGUACUCAACCAUGUCGUUUCUCUACAAAAUUGUUGAAACGUGUCUCGUCAGAAACAUUAAAACGGACUACCAUCAAUAACUUUGAAUUGUCAGUACUCUACUUCGAGGGUUCAAGCAAUAACAUAUAACAUUAAAAAGAAAACACUCACCUCUGGCUCUCCGUGAACGAGAACAUCAAUGUCAAGUUCCUCUUGGAGGUCAACAACUUUCUUGAUCUCUUCCUUCAUGGCCUUAACAUAGUCCUCCUCGGAAACCCUAUCAAAGAGAUUCACCGUUAGUAUCAUACCGUUUAAGGAGAUACCAGGAAUAAAAUUUAGGAGACUAACUUCUUAGCCUUGUAUUCUCUGCGAACUCUCCUGAGCUCUACAGUCUGGGGGAAGGACCCAAUGGUGGUGGUUGGCAGGAUUGGGAGGUUAAGCUUCUUCUGCUGAGCAUCUAACCUAGCGCUAACAUUAGUUGCACGACGGUGGUCUGAGCCCUUCAAAGCAGCAGCCUGAGAUAACAAAUCAGAAACCAUCUCGAUCAAUAAAUGCUAAGGAGAAAUCAGUGACUGUGGAGAUGGCUGAGGUUUGCGCCAAACUUACAGCCUUCUGGACACCCUCGUUGGUGACUCUUGGGGAAGACCUCCUUGAAGCCAAAGCAGCAGCGUUGGCGGAGAAAAGGGCCUGAAAGGGAAUACAAUAUUAGCAUUCUAGUGUUUACUAAAUCAUUUACAUUGCAAAACUAUUCAAGGAUUUAAUAAAGUAGGUGGAUAAAAUUUCUACCUCAUCCUUCUGACCAGCCAAAGCCUUGGCCAGUGCGUUCACUUCAACGAUCUUCUGGGCAGCAAACGCCAACCAUGACUUGAUUUCGUCGUCAAGCUUGGUCUCGUUUACAAGAUCGACGGCGGUGUGGAGAAGAGAGCAGGAGGUUGAGACUACAAGCUUGUCUGAAUCAAUGCAGAAAGAUAUAACAGGUCAACGGUUGAAAUUUUUGUUUCUCAGUAAUCCCUUAGUAUAUUGUCGGUGACUCGGUAAAAGGAAGAUGAUUAUGGAAGCACUUAUAUUAUAUACCUUUUCCAACAACACCCUCAAGUGCCUCCAAGGUGCUGAGGGACGCAGCAAAGUCGUUGGCCCAGAUGUUCCUUCCAUCAACAACACCAGCGAAGAGGUACUUUCCCUCGGGGAAACCAGCCUUGACCAAAUCAAGGGUCUUGGUGCCACGAACCAAGUCAAAUCCAAAGGCAGUCACACCCUUCAACGAAGUCAGGGUCUUGUAUGCUUCAGCAGGGAUAUCAGCGAAGUAAGUCUCAACAAGAACAUUCAAACCAGAAAGAGUUGAUUCAAGUUCAGCAUAGGCUCCAGUGAAGGCCUGGAGUUUGUGGCCCUCAAGAUCCAUAACGAGAACAGGCUCGUCGAGCUGAAUCCAGGUGGCACCAGCAGCCUUAAGCUCGGUGAUCACUUCCCUGUAGACAAAUCAAAGUAAUAAUGUCAGUGUUGGAUUACCAAUAACAUCAAGGACAUGGAUUGAAAAGUAAAAGAAAGAAUAAAGUGGUUGCAUACUUGUAGACAGGGAGAAUUUUGGGGAGAAGAGAGAGAAGGUCAAAUGACUUCUCCACACCCUUGGCAGCCUUAGAAAGCAACAAGUAAGAGACUGGGCCAACAAGUACAGGGACGGUGUCAACACCAAGCUGCAUAAACAUCAAGCUUAUCGGAUCAGAACUUUAGAUAGAAACUACUUUUGGUGCACAAAAGACAACCAGCGUCAAACUAAUCUUUAACAACUAUUCUAUCAACCGGUUGUAUUUUGUGAGUAAGCAAGCGAGUAUAUUCUUAACGUAUCAACAUCUUCUGUGAAAACCAUUCAAUAUAUCUAAAUUCAAACACUGAAUCCACGAACCCAAGUCUAUGAUCUCCAAUAAAUAGUUAUUUAUUAGUAAAUGGAUGAUAAUAAUAAAGAAAGAUACUUACAGCCUUGGCCUCCUUGUACUCAUUCACAGCCUUGUGAGAUGCGUAAGAGAACUUAACGUCAGGGCCCAACUCAGGAACAAUGUAAUGGCUGCACCAAUUAAACAUCAUUACAUUUUUCCACAACUAAGAAAAACAAACAACGUCACUGCAAGACUGCAAGAUCAGAGUUGGAGACUCACUAGUUGGUGUCAAACCACUUGGUCAUCUCCAUGGCGGGAACAGAGGCGUUACCUCUAGCCAUGGAGAAGUAAACAUCCAAACCGAUCUCACCACUGGUGUAACCGUAUCUGGGUGGAACAGCACCGAGCAUGGCGGUGGUGUCGAGAACCUGGUCGUAGUGAGCAAAGGUGUUGCUGGGGAUGUACUUGGUCCCAGCCUCAGACAUCUGCUUCCAGAUGUUAGCCCUGAGAUCAGCGGACACCUUCUGAAGAUCCUCAGCAGUGCUCUUUCCAUCCCAGAAUGAUUCCAAUGCGAACUUGAGCUCUCUCUUAGGGCCCAUACGUGGGUAUCCAACAAUGUGUGACGCCAUUUUGAUUUCUUUUUUUUUACUGCAUCAAACACAAACCAAAUCAAGAUCAGUAUCAAAUAGUAAAAUACAUUCUCUCUUUCAUAACUUUGUUAAUAUAAUAAUAAUAAAUAAGUUUCAUACUCCAAGAAAGCUGCAACUACAGUUCACGUGUUAACAAAUUAAAAUAAAAUAAAAUCGAAAAGUAGAGCUAUAGCAGCUUUUGUCGUAUUAAUGAUUGAAUGAGUCCACUUCAAAGUAGAAUCGAAAACUUUUAGAUCAAAAUCACAUGCAACAUUUGAUGAUGAUUCAAAGCGGAUCUAACACAGACCAAUGAUCAUUUUCGAACGAUGAAUAUAGAUCGCAGAUCAGAUCCAGAUCUACAGAUCGACCGACACCAAAAAAAAAAAACUCAGAUCUGCAAAUGAUGAGCUCUCUCACCGUUUAGAUCUCAGUGAUAAACACGCAAUACGAACAAACGGAUCGGGGAGGAAUGAGCUAAUAUAUUUGAAUUUAAAAAAAUCACACUCGGUAAGUAAUAAACAAUAACGUGGAGACGAAAACGAAAUGAGAAGGGGAAGGGAGCUAAAUAAGGGAGACGUGGGGAAGCCAUAAAAUCUCGGAGACGUACCUCACGGAGGAAGAAUCGGAGAAAGAGGUUUGGCUACGAUGAAGAGAGAGCGAGGAAGGAGAGUGGCUCUGUGAGUUUAUUUAUAGAUACAAUCGUUGGGCUCUGUGUGAUGUGUAGAUCUGGUGGUGGAUAUUUUAAGCAAUAAUCAUAUAUUUCAACAUUUUAUUUUAUUUAGUUUUUCUCUCAUUUUCUUUCUUUCUAAUACGGCUAUUUAUGUGUUCUGAUUUUCUGAGAUCAUUUUCUAAUUUUCUUACCAUAAUUAAGAAAAUUAAUUACUUUUAGAUUGUAAAAGUAAAACUAGACCAAAAAAGGAACAUGUAUGGACGGAACUAUGAGCAAUUUUAUUUGUUCUUCAAUGUAUUUUUAGCUAGGUAUGUAUUUUUAUUUUUUAGCCUUAAGCAUUUAAAAUGUUAACAGUUUAUACAUGGAUACUUGGAUUAUUUUUUAAGAACGAACUUUUAGAUGAUAUCUUAACGAAUUGACAGGAAUAUCGUAAUUACAAAUUUGUAAAAUACCGGUAAUGGUAUUAAAUAUUUUCAUUAGUAAAGCUAAAUCAUUUUUACAGCAGUAAAGUCCAAUCAUUUAAUUAAAACGUAUUUAUAAAAGUAUAUUAAAGCGAUUAAAUAGAGGAUUAAAACGUGAAGGGGAGUUGGUGUCUACGUAUAUGAGGGAUUAGUAGUAGUGGGUCCUACGGAGGUUGGUGGAGAUUCACAUUUCACAGUGAAGUUUCUGUUAAAUACGGCUGCGUUUAGUGUCGGCCCGAAGAGUAUCGACAUCGAGGCCUGUUCCGCAGUGUUUUGAAAACCAAGUUGGAGUGGUUAUUGAACCUGAUUAUUUUUGAUGAAUUUGAUUUUUUGCUUCAAUACUUUUUGGAAUGUUAUUAUUAGAUUCAUACAAGUUAAAUUUUCGCUAGUUAACAUGUAACUAUUUCGAUGAUGGUUCAUUUUCCUCUUUAUACAGUGGUCAGUAAAUACUAGUAGUAUUCAUCUUUUUUUUUUUGGAUCAAACUAGUAGUAUUCAUCUAUCACCCACCAAUAAAAGCUUAGGCAACUGAGAUAAACUGGAUCAAAAUAUUUUGGUGGAUGAAUAUAGUAGUAGGUAAUGAAAGGGAGAUUAUGGAUCCAUGAUGUAUAUGUUAUUGUUUUAAGAUUCAUAAACAAAGUGAUGAGUGCUCUUUUACCAAAAAAAAAAAGAAAAAAAAAAAAAAGAAGUGAUGAGUGGUCUUCAUCUUGUUGUUUGCUUUGAUAAUUCGGCCACCAAACAUUGAUUCUAUUAACGUCAUCGCUUCCCUUGAUUACAUGGUAAUUAUCCUUCUCGUCUUAUUUUACUGAAUUUUUGGGUGUAUUUUGAAUAUUAGUGAUAUUCACAAGACUCAACAGUCCAUAUCACAUACUGCUAAUAGAUUACGAAUAUAAUAUUUAUGCACAGUGAGAUAAGUAUGUUAUAUCUUAUACCAGUCGUUAAUCCUCAGUUUUAUUACGCAACUCAAAGUCUAACCUAUAGAAUAGCACAUACACUAGUUGAUUAUUAAUUAUAAAGCUCUUUUGCGUGACUUGUAAGAUUAUUCUAAGUUCAACAACUAGUUUGGAACUGUGUAGGUCUAUUUUAAGAGAUGACGUUGUUGCAAACUCAGAAAACAGUCAACAAAGUGCUGCUUUUCCUUACGGACGCCAACAAAAUGCUUAUUAAAGACUGUUUGACACAAUAUGGAUACUAAAUUAUAGGCUAACUAUAUAGUUUGUAUUAGUUUUAUUACUAGCAAUUGUCAAUCGCACGGCAUAAGUUUAACAGCAGUUACAUGUGACUUUACAAGAAGAUUUGCAUAUGCAUCCUUAAAGUUGUUUUGUCGGUGGAUUUAGAUCUACCAUCAUAAUAACAGCAAAAGUCGUACGAGCAUUUAAUGAAAAUUCUCCUUUUCUUUUUUCAUUUUCAUUUUAUUGUUCUGCAACCUAAACAAGUAAUACCAUAAUCAAGCUCAAACGAAAAAAAAAGAAGAAGAAGAUCUGUAAUAUACUUUAUGAAAUUAUUGAACUAAUUCGUAUGCGAAUUGUGAAAAUUAUACGACUUAUGAUAUAUGGUGUACGCAUCCCUUUUUUUUUGCCAUCUUGAGUUUGGUAGAUCGUUUAGUAAACGAAUCACAAGAUCCAAAAACAUCCUUAUUGCUGGCUUAUUAAACUUUGUGAUUAAACUAUGAUAAAGGAAUGCUUUUAGGCAUGUGACAUAUUACAUGAUUACAUAUGCAUUAUGAUUUGAAUUGAAAUAUGAUAAUUUAAAUAAUUUAUAAAUCUUUUGUAAUGUAUACAUGCUAAUUUAAAGAACACAAAGACUAAGAAAUUAUUCAUCUAAUCUCAAUCACAAGGCUCCAUGUUAAAAGUGAGUAAAACAUGAAAAUGAAAGCCAACCACUUUUUAGGUAGAGUCCAUUCUUAUAGAUUACACAAUGCUAACCCUAUAGCUAGAGUUGUGAACUGAAUCAACACCAAACCCGAUAAAAUCUCAACCACAUCCCUAUAACAUCCCAAAAGGAUGAAAAGAACAACGAUGUAGAGCAACUCUACCUUUUAGACAAUGUUCAAAGAAGAAUCCAAACAUCAAUAAUUUCUCAGUUUCAAUACAAAACAUUUUAGAAUGAAAACGAUAAAAUAUUUAAAGUCACAAACCAAAAACCCUGAAAAAACCUCAGAAUAGUAUCAAGAAAUACAAAUCAAUAAAUAUGGAAGCUGAAACACAAGAAAAGGAAAACACAUACACACACAAACCGGGAAAAGGAGAAAACUCAGUACAAAAAAAAUGAAUAGCGGCUUCUUCCUGCCCCUUUUAAAACAGAGCAAACCCAGAAGUGCCUAACAAUUACAGUGUAACAAACAUAUAUACUAGGAGUUGAGAUGCAUUACCCUUCGAUUUUUUUCAAUCUGAGUCACUCGAACUAGAGCUUGAGCUCGAGCUUGAAGAAUCCGACUUACCCUUCUCCUUCUCCUUCUCCUUCUCCUUUGUCUUUACUUCUGAAAUGCUUUCCUCCGAAUCUCCCGGAGUUUCUUUGGACUCAGCACUCUGUACAGUCCCAUCAAGGUUACUUGAGGUUUCAGCUUUUGCUUCCUCAGUCGCUACUUCAUCGCUUAGUGUUACAUUUCUAGACUCUAUGCCUUCUGUAGGAAUCACCACUCUUUCAGAGAUUACUUCCGUUGACAUCUCCACUUUUGGCUCAGAAGGUUUUGGAAUUUCCUCCAGUGAUCGACUUUCCUUAGACGAUGCAUCGGAUGAUGUCGUUAUCUCUUUCGGUUUAGUUUCCUCAUCUUCUUCUUUCUCAGGUGUGUUUUUCACAGUAACAUUUGUCUCAUCAAGAGAUCUUUCAUCAACUAAAGACCCUGAUGGUUCCAUUUCUACUCUGCACUUGGUUUCUCCAAACCCACCAUCUGAUUCUGGUGACAUUGGUUGCUUGCCCAUGCUCUCUACAACAGCCUGAUUCAUAGCAGUAUCUAGAUCAUCUUUCGACGUAGCUUCCACCACUGUUAAAUCUGACUUGGUCUCUGAUGAGUUUUCAGAAUUUUCUUGAGCCAACUGGUCCUGAACGGUCCUUGGAAGAAUAACAUCCUCAACCUCAGAUCCUUCAUGGAUCUGCUGGAAAGCAGAUUCUAUGUCUUCAACCGCUCUCGCUUCAAGAACAGGCAGAGGUUCCGUCUGUUCAGUGGCAGUCUCUGACCCUACUGAAGAUGGCCCAGGCUCAGAAACUUCCUUUACACCAAAGUCUCCAACCGUGUCAAGUUCAGACAAUAAUCCUUCAUCAAUCUCUUUUAUCUCGUCUGCCUCUUCAGUGAAAACUUCUGGAGAACUUUGAGAUUCUUCAUGUAAAUCAGUAAGCUGAUCUAGUCGCUCUGCUUCUUCAGUGAUAACUUCAGGAGGACUUUGAGAUACAGCAUGUGAAUCUGUAAAUUGAUUUGAUUGCUCUGCUUCUUCAGUGAUAACUUCAGGAGGACUCUGAGAUAUUGCAUGUAAAUCUGUAAACUGAUCAAAUCGCUCUGCUUCUUCAGUGAUAACUUCAGGAGGACUUUGAGAUAUUUCAUGUAAAUCCGUAAGCUCAUCUGAUCGCUCUACCACAUGGUCAAGCCCCUCAUUAACAGUCUCUUGGAAGAAUUCCGCCUUUGAGCUUUCACCAACCAUAGGUGUUUCGUACUCAGGAGACUCUGCUGGAGAUGAGGAUGUGUCAGAUGUCAAACAAGAUAACUCGGCUGUAUCCACACUCACAUGAGCUGCACGUGCUGGUACCUGCAAACGCAGCAUAUCAGUUAUACUCUUGCUUAACAAAUUGCAGAAAGAAGAAAAAAAUUUAAAUAUUUUGGAGGAAUUAGCCUGAUGUUAUAUCCAUCAAGUAAUUAAUCACUCGUAUAUUCACUCUAUUACUUCGUAGGUUAUGAUGUUUAGUAUAUCAAAUAAUCUUAAGCUAAGAGGACAGAAGUAGGAGAUCAUAUACUAAACAUAUCAGAUAAUGUUGAAUGAUGACCAUCUACGAGAAAAGAUAAGUUUCAUGACUUACUUGAUCUUCACCAGAUUCAAGAGAUGAUUGUUCAACCACUGAUUUAUCUGACCAGGUCGGUUCUCUAUCUGAUUCAGCUGGAAUCGCUUCUUCGGAACCCACAUUUUGGGCACCAGUAUUCGCAGAGUCUACUUCAAUAUCCAUAGUUUGGUUGGGGUGUGUUUCUUCCUUGGCAUCAGAAACUGAUGACUGAACUGGGUAUUGUUCCGCCUUCGGAGCAUAUUCGUCAUUAAAUGAAUGCGUCUCAGUAUACUCAACUACUCCAGAAGCCAAAGUGGAGUAACUGUCUAUUGGGAUGUCUGCAUUGGAUGUUUUAGGAGUGGCUUCAUCUUUUUCUUUAUCCUCUUCCUCCUGCACUGUGCCUUCAGCUACUGAUCUGUUUACUGAACUUUCAGCUAUGUCAUGUACCACAUCAGGUGAUUCUUCCAGUGUUGUCACAUGCUCCGUCGUGUCACCAUAUCCCAAAGGUGAACUUGUAGGCUCAACUGGGAGAUGUUGUUCAACUAUCCCUGUAGAUACUACUUCCUCUUCUGUAGAAGAAACCAAGUCCACCAAAGAUUCACUAACAUCUAGCGCUCUGGAAUCUACAGCCUCUCUCACUUCUUCACGAAGCUCUUCCACGUCUUCUUGACUAGAAACAGGUAAAGAGUCAUCCUCCUGCUGAUCAGCAUCCUCGUUCUUAUCCAAAGGUAGAGAGGACGGAUCAAGUAAGGCUUCCUCAAAUUCAGACACUGAAACAGUUGAAUUAUUUUGACCAUCAAUUCCAACAUCCGAAAUGAGAAGGCUUGUCUCCCCUGUAACAUGAGUGCUACUCUCUCCUACUUCCCUUGUACUUGUUUCAGUCUCACCAGGACCUAUGCUUUCAGAACAUACUUCACGUUCGUUAUCUGUAUUUUCUUGUACUUCUUCGCCACUCUUUCCAGGUAGAUCUGCUUUGUAAUCAGAUGAUACUGAAGAAAAUGAGGGGAAUCUACUGGCUGAGGGAGGAGUCGAAUCGUAAACAGGUGUUUCGUGGUGGUCGCCCACCAACCCACAAAGAUCAUGAAUUGCUGACUCCUCCCGAGAGAGAAGUGCAGUAAUGAAAGCAGGCUCCUCAUCAUGGUGAUAAACAUCCUCCAUCCCUCUUGCAACAUGAAUAUCUGAUCCUCCAAAAGAAGUACCUGAUUUCUCAUGAAAAUCAACUUCCCGCUCAGAAACCAACAUUGCUUCAUCCUCACUAAUAUGCGCUAUCUCUUCUUCUAUCUCUGAUAAAGACGCAUCACCAUCACUGGAAUCCUCUUCAUCCUGUUUUGUGUUAUCGGGAGUUUCUCCGUCCAUCAUGUUUGAUUGCUCAUGGUGUGUUGCACUUCCCAGUAUUAUCUCAGCCACAUCACGAUGAGGAUUUUUGCUAUCAGCUUGUUCAUCACCAUCGGAAUCUUCUGACGAGUGGCCUUUUUCUUCAUCAUGGUCAGAAGCCAUAUCAGUUUUAGCUAUCUCGGUUUCUCGAUCAGCAUCAUCUUCAUCCACCUUCUUUUCGUCAUCCUCCAGGAUUGUGCAGACAGAUUCAGUAUCAGGUACAGAACUGAGUUUUGAUUCACUAACUUCACUGAGCUGCCUUUCAAACGGAUAAUAGCUCGCUCUCUCGUGUGCUAAUCUUUCCAGCACGAAGAAAGGUCGUAGCCUAUCAUGUCUGGGACCUCCGAGCAUCGAUGGACCUACACUGAAACUCUCAUGUCUUCUGAACACUGGCUCCUUAGGUUGUGGAGAAGAGAACUCUUCCUCGAAACCAUCACCCUUGAGGUCUGGCUUCUCUUCGUUUGGCUCGUACGGAAGAUCAAACGGGUUUCUCCUCGCGAACAUAAUGGACGGAGCAGAGCCAGGGAUAGGUGGUAGUCCCAUACCAUCAUAUGAAAGAUCAAAUGGAUUAUGCCUUGCGGUUGAGAUUGGCGGCAUAUUAAAUGGAACAUCAGCACAGUCGAAAUCAAUGAGAUUUCUCUCUGCCACCAUUCUCAUAUUGUUACGAGCCCUUCUCCUGGCGAUAAGACUCUCCAACCGUUGGUUUCUUUCGAGCUCGAGACUUCCUAGAUCCAUGACGUUCUUUUGGUCAGCCUCUGUCCAUUUGAUAGGUGAUUUAAUUUCAUCUUCCUUCUUCUCCUCUUCCUCUUCCUCUUCUUCCUUCUUGUUGUCGUCCUCUUCACCAUGACUUUCGCUGUUAACAUCAGACUCCGUUCCUUCAUCGCUAUCACUACUACUCAUAUCUGGCUCCUCUGAAGUUGCAUUUGAUCCAUCAAGAUCUGCAAUACCAAGACCUGGAUUCUCUGAGUGUAAAAGCGGGUGAAGCUCAUCAAGCAUGGGGAUGAUGUCUGUCAUAGAAGGGUCAGGUGAAGAACUUUCCGCACCAUCAGAACUAGAAUCCAGUGAGUCAUCAUCGCCCUCCUCAUGCCUCAUUGGUCUCCAAGGUGAAACUGGAGAUACAUCCACCUGAUCUUCCUUUGAAUCCUCCAUCAUAUCAUCUAAAGAUCCACCAUGUGAAACUCGCUUCCCGUCAUCAUUUCCAAUCAACUUCUCCUCUUCUCCAUCUCCCUUCUUCUCCAAAUCCAAAUCAAAUGCUCUCUCCUCAAACCUUACCUGGGUAUCUCGUUCCACUAAUCUAUCAUCAUCAUCUUUCUCCGUGCUCACGCACCUCUCAACCGUAAAACUCUCACCCUCUCUCUCAACAACACUAGGAUCCCUCGUAACCUCAGCUGUGAAAAGAGCAGCCUCGUUAACAGUAGCCUCCGGUUCUGUUUCGAUCUCAGGUAUAAUAUUUGGCUCUCCGAAACUAAGAAUCGUUCCAAGCAAAACGAAUGUGCAAACCAAAACAGGAGAUGCAGCUACCAAAGGAGAAAACAAAAGAGGACAAGCUCUAUACAGAAGAUACACAACCCCAACAAAGCCGAGGAGAUAGGGAUGACUGCAGAUCCAUCUAUAGGAAGUUCUGAUCAUGAUGACGAAUAACCUCCGUAUAUGAACUCUGAACUCAGACCGAUCACUGAUCAUACUGUUUCCUUCUUCUUGUCCAGGUUGUUUUCUGUAUAAAGAAGUAAGAGCAACAAUCACGAAUCAGAUGGUGCAAGAUAACAUUACUAGAAUAAAUCUGAAACGAAGUUGACAUUUAUUAGAUAUGCAACUUUCAACCAUAAAUAAUAAUAAUCGGAUCUAACGCACACGAGUAGAGAGAGAAAGGUAAAUCAUUUCAAUCAGAUGGAGAAUUAGAUCGAGUAUUCUGAUGAACUCACUCACCAGUCUCACCAGGUACGAGCAAACAGAUCGUGGAGAAAACAGUUUGACUAAACUAUACAGUGAAGAUGAAGAAGAAGAAAGAAUAGGACGAGUGGGCUAAUAUGAUUGUUUGUUGUUUCGCUUUCUUUACAGCAAAACAAAUGUAAUUCUUCGUUGGCCUCUAUUUGUAUCUCCUGAUAUUACGGUGGUGGCGGUGGCUACUACUUUCGGCACAAUUAUUAUUAUUGUUUUUUUUUCCGAGCAGGUUUCUUCUUCUUUUUACUUGACCAAAAAGACGAUUUAUUUCAAAAUUAGUAAAUAUUUCUUUACGUAGAUAUGUAUAAACAACAUUAACCUUUUUUUGGAAACAUAAAACAGCAUUAACCUAAACUACAAACAUCCAUCUAUAGUACUAUUAUUAAUAUAACUCAAAGUGCUGCAGAAAUUACUUAAUAUUGCUAUGUUUACUUAAUAACUCAAAAUGCCACAAUGUUUAAUAUGGAAAUAUUUUGAUCUACACGUCCGUGAAAGUAUUUUUUAUAGAUAAAGUUAGGAUCAGUUAUUCUUCUAAUAUGUUUUCAUAUUAUGUUGGUUACACAUAUUGUUAUUUUAUGAUAGAUUUAUUUUGCUGAAUAUAAAAUCUACUUAUUAAAAAACUCGGAAGAUUAAAAACAAUAACAUACUCCCUCCGUUUUAUAAUUUUGGCUAAAAGCACAAAAAAUUAAGAAAAUUAUUAUGUUUUAAAAAGUAUUGUAUAAUAAAUAGGUUAGAUAUAAAUUAAUCCAUCAAAAAUAAGUCUAUUAAUAUGAUUGGUCAUACUAUAUUUAAUAAAUGUAAAAAUUACUUAGAAAUAUGAAAACUGGUUUGUUACAGAUUUUCAUUCCAUUUUUAACUAAUUUUAACCACUUCUUUUAUUAUCUUUCUAAUUAAUUCGACAACAUUUAUUACAAAUUAUAAAACACAACUUACCUAUUUAAAAUUUUUUAUUACAUCUUCCUUUUUUUCAUUUUUCCUAACUACUUCGUUAGUUAUAUUUAUAAUAAUAAUUAAAAAUCACUUAUUUUACAUGUUAACCAUAAUAAUUUCAUAGAUUUGAAUGAAAUUGUUUCAUUCGUAACAAAAAUUCAAACUGAUUAACAAAUUAUUUUUUUAUUUGUUUACAAAAUCAGUUAGACAUAGUCAUCCAAAUACCCAUUCGAAUAUGAAUCAUGUUUUGAAACCACGUUUUUCGAGUUUUAAAAUUAAACUUCAUUCGCAUAUUACAAAUUUUUGGACAGGGUUCAAGUUGGAUUUUUCCAGAUCCGGAUAUGUUCGUAAAAACUUAAAAAUUAAACUCUGUGCAGACGCACAGAUCAAGUUAUAGUUUACAUUAUAAACAUAGAAUAUUUAGCAGUAGAAUUGGUUCCAACCAUGCUUUGUCCCCACUAUACAACGGUUAAUUUCCCCUCUUGCCCACUUAUACUUCCCUUUUUAUUUAUUUUUAUCAUUCCCCUCCCCCCCCUACAGUUGAAUUAUUUUGACCAUCAAUUCCAACAUCCGAAAUGAGAAGGCUUGUCUCCCCUGUAACAUGAGUGCUACUCUCUCCUACUUCCCUUGUACUUGUUUCAGUCUCACCAGGACCUAUGCUUUCAGAACAUACUUCACGUUCGUUAUCUGUAUUUUCUUGUACUUCUUCGCCACUAUUUCCAGGUAGAUCUGCUUUGUAAUCAGAUGAUACUGAAGAAAAUGAGGGGAAUCUACUGGCUGAGGGAGGAGUCGAAUCGUAAACAGGUGUUUCGUGGUGGUCGCCCACCAACCCACAAAGAUCAUGAAUUGCUGACUCCUCCCGAGAGAGAAGUGCAGUAAUGAAAGCAGGCUCCUCAUCAUGGUGAUAAACAUCCUCCAUCCCUCUUGCAACAUGAAUAUCUGAUCCUCCAAAAGAAGUACCUGAUUUCUCAUGAAAAUCAACUUCCCGCUCAGAAACCAACAUUGCUUCAUCCUCACUAAUAUGCGCUAUCUCUUCUUCUAUCUCUGAUAAAGACGCAUCACCAUCACUGGAAUCCUCUUCAUCCUGUUUUGUGUUAUCGGGAGUUUCUCCGUCCAUCAUGUUUGAUUGCUCAUGGUGUGUUGCACUUCCCAGUAUUAUCUCAGCCACAUCACGAUGAGGAUUUUUGCUAUCAGCUUGUUCAUCACCAUCGGAAUCUUCUGACGAGUGGCCUUUUUCUUCAUCAUGGUCAGAAGCCAUAUCAGUUUUAGCUAUCUCGGUUUCUCGAUCAGCAUCAUCUUCAUCCACCUUCUUUUCGUCAUCCUCCAGGAUUGUGCAGACAGAUUCAGUAUCAGGUACAGAACUGAGUUUUGAUUCACUAACUUCACUGAGCUGCCUUUCAAACGGAUAAUAGCUCGCUCUCUCGUGUGCUAAUCUUUCCAGCACGAAGAAAGGUCGUAGCCUAUCAUGUCUGGGACCUCCGAGCAUCGAUGGACCUACACUGAAACUCUCAUGUCUUCUGAACACUGGCUCCUUAGGUUGUGGAGAAGAGAACUCUUCCUCGAAACCAUCACCCUUGAGGUCUGGCUUCUCUUCGUUUGGCUCGUACGGAAGAUCAAACGGGUUUCUCCUCGCGAACAUAAUGGACGGAGCAGAGCCAGGGAUAGGUGGUAGUCCCAUACCAUCAUAUGAAAGAUCAAAUGGAUUAUGCCUUGCGGUUGAGAUUGGCGGCAUAUUAAAUGGAACAUCAGCACAGUCGAAAUCAAUGAGAUUUCUCUCUGCCACCAUUCUCAUAUUGUUACGAGCCCUUCUCCUGGCGAUAAGACUCUCCAACCGUUGGUUUCUUUCGAGCUCGAGACUUCCUAGAUCCAUGACGUUCUUUUGGUCAGCCUCUGUCCAUUUGAUAGGUGAUUUAAUUUCAUCUUCCUUCUUCUCCUCUUCCUCUUCCUCUUCUUCCUUCUUGUUGUCGUCCUCUUCACCAUGACUUUCGCUGUUAACAUCAGACUCCGUUCCUUCAUCGCUAUCACUACUACUCAUAUCUGGCUCCUCUGAAGUUGCAUUUGAUCCAUCAAGAUCUGCAAUACCAAGACCUGGAUUCUCUGAGUGUAAAAGCGGGUGAAGCUCAUCAAGCAUGGGGAUGAUGUCUGUCAUAGAAGGGUCAGGUGAAGAACUUUCCGCACCAUCAGAACUAGAAUCCAGUGAGUCAUCAUCGCCCUCCUCAUGCCUCAUUGGUCUCCAAGGUGAAACUGGAGAUACAUCCACCUGAUCUUCCUUUGAAUCCUCCAUCAUAUCAUCUAAAGAUCCACCAUGUGAAACUCGCUUCCCGUCAUCAUUUCCAAUCAACUUCUCCUCUUCUCCAUCUCCCUUCUUCUCCAAAUCCAAAUCAAAUGCUCUCUCCUCAAACCUUACCUGGGUAUCUCGUUCCACUAAUCUAUCAUCAUCAUCUUUCUCCGUGCUCACGCACCUCUCAACCGUAAAACUCUCACCCUCUCUCUCAACAACACUAGGAUCCCUCGUAACCUCAGCUGUGAAAAGAGCAGCCUCGUUAACAGUAGCCUCCGGUUCUGUUUCGAUCUCAGGUAUAAUAUUUGGCUCUCCGAAACUAAGAAUCGUUCCAAGCAAAACGAAUGUGCAAACCAAAACAGGAGAUGCAGCUACCAAAGGAGAAAACAAAAGAGGACAAGCUCUAUACAGAAGAUACACAACCCCAACAAAGCCGAGGAGAUAGGGAUGACUGCAGAUCCAUCUAUAGGAAGUUCUGAUCAUGAUGACGAAUAACCUCCGUAUAUGAACUCUGAACUCAGACCGAUCACUGAUCAUACUGUUUCCUUCUUCUUGUCCAGGUUGUUUUCUGUAUAAAGAAGUAAGAGCAACAAUCACGAAUCAGAUGGUGCAAGAUAACAUUACUAGAAUAAAUCUGAAACGAAGUUGACAUUUAUUAGAUAUGCAACUUUCAACCAUAAAUAAUAAUAAUCGGAUCUAACGCACACGAGUAGAGAGAGAAAGGUAAAUCAUUUCAAUCAGAUGGAGAAUUAGAUCGAGUAUUCUGAUGAACUCACUCACCAGUCUCACCAGGUACGAGCAAACAGAUCGUGGAGAAAACAGUUUGACUAAACUAUACAGUGAAGAUGAAGAAGAAGAAAGAAUAGGACGAGUGGGCUAAUAUGAUUGUUUGUUGUUUCGCUUUCUUUACAGCAAAACAAAUGUAAUUCUUCGUUGGCCUCUAUUUGUAUCUCCUGAUAUUACGGUGGUGGCGGUGGCUACUACUUUCGGCACAAUUAUUAUUAUUGUUUUUUUUUCCGAGCAGGUUUCUUCUUCUUUUUACUUGACCAAAAAGACGAUUUAUUUCAAAAUUAGUAAAUAUUUCUUUACGUAGAUAUGUAUAAACAACAUUAACCUUUUUUUGGAAACAUAAAACAGCAUUAACCUAAACUACAAACAUCCAUCUAUAGUACUAUUAUUAAUAUAACUCAAAGUGCUGCAGAAAUUACUUAAUAUUGCUAUGUUUACUUAAUAACUCAAAAUGCCACAAUGUUUAAUAUGGAAAUAUUUUGAUCUACACGUCCGUGAAAGUAUUUUUUAUAGAUAAAGUUAGGAUCAGUUAUUCUUCUAAUAUGUUUUCAUAUUAUGUUGGUUACACAUAUUGUUAUUUUAUGAUAGAUUUAUUUUGCUGAAUAUAAAAUCUACUUAUUAAAAAACUCGGAAGAUUAAAAACAAUAACAUACUCCCUCCGUUUUAUAAUUUUGGCUAAAAGCACAAAAAAUUAAGAAAAUUAUUAUGUUUUAAAAAGUAUUGUAUAAUAAAUAGGUUAGAUAUAAAUUAAUCCAUCAAAAAUAAGUCUAUUAAUAUGAUUGGUCAUACUAUAUUUAAUAAAUGUAAAAAUUACUUAGAAAUAUGAAAACUGGUUUGUUACAGAUUUUCAUUCCAUUUUUAACUAAUUUUAACCACUUCUUUUAUUAUCUUUCUAAUUAAUUCGACAACAUUUAUUACAAAUUAUAAAACACAACUUACCUAUUUAAAAUUUUUUAUUACAUCUUCCUUUUUUUCAUUUUUCCUAACUACUUCGUUAGUUAUAUUUAUAAUAAUAAUUAAAAAUCACUUAUUUUACAUGUUAACCAUAAUAAUUUCAUAGAUUUGAAUGAAAUUGUUUCAUUCGUAACAAAAAUUCAAACUGAUUAACAAAUUAUUUUUUUAUUUGUUUACAAAAUCAGUUAGACAUAGUCAUCCAAAUACCCAUUCGAAUAUGAAUCAUGUUUUGAAACCACGUUUUUCGAGUUUUAAAAUUAAACUUCAUUCGCAUAUUACAAAUUUUUGGACAGGGUUCAAGUUGGAUUUUUCCAGAUCCGGAUAUGUUCGUAAAAACUUAAAAAUUAAACUCUGUGCAGACGCACAGAUCAAGUUAUAGUUUACAUUAUAAACAUAGAAUAUUUAGCAGUAGAAUUGGUUCCAACCAUGCUUUGUCCCCACUAUACAACGGUUAAUUUCCCCUCUUGCCCACUUAUACUUCCCUUUUUAUUUAUUUUUAUCAUUCCCCUCCCCCCCCUNNNNNNNNNNNNNNNNNNNNNNNNNNNNNNNNNNNNNNNNNNNNNNNNNNNNNNNNNNNNNNNNNNNNNNNNNNNNNNNNNNNNNNNNNNNNNNNNNNNNNNNNNNNNNNNNNNNNNNNNNNNNNNNNNNNNNNNNNNNNNNNNNNNNNNNNNNNNNNNNNNNNNNNNNNNNNNNNNNNNNNNNNNNNNNNNNNNNNNNNNNNNNNNNNNNNNNNNNNNNNNNNNNNNNNNNNNNNNNNNNNNNNNNNNNNNCCCUUUACUUUUUUAAUUUAGUUUUAUGUUCACCUGUCACAUUUCCUUUCCUCUCACGUACUUUCUUAAUUUUUUUCUUCAUUUACCCUUUUCAUCCAAAAACAAUUUUGUAUUUAACAUUAUGUUUUCUUUCUUACAAAGAGAGAAUUGGAUUCAUCUUCUUUUAACUCUUGAAUUAUAUAUUACAUUUUUUAUACCAUUAAAUAGUUCAUUUUAAUACAUAGCAUUCAUUAAAAAAAUUAUUAAAUAAUUUAUUUAUUUAUUUAUAUGUUUUUACAUAAAAUAUUUUCUAAAUUCGCCACUUUAUGUAACCAACAUCAUACUAGAACAUUUUGAAAUGAUAAACUGAUCUUAAAUUUAGUUAUACAUGAUACAAAACUGUAUCGAUAUUAUUGAAAAGUUCCAUAACACUGAAAUAAUAUUAAAAAAUUAUGUACAAUUUUAUUGGUUAAAAUCAAAUCUAGAGAAUCCCCUCUAUAAUUAGUUGUUGCUUGAGUGAAGCAACUUAUCAUGUAUACACCAUAUAAUUUUAAAAGGUUUUACAUCUUUCAAGAAAAUGUAUUUAAACAUUUUUGGAGUUUAGAUUGUAAGAUUAGAUCGAACUGUGAUAUAUAUAUAUAUAUAUAUAUAUAUAUGAUUGUAGCAAAAAAAAAUAAAGAUUAAUGGCAUUAAAAAAGGUGGAAGAGACAAGGUAAUAUGAAUAUCAUUCUCUUUCAACAUCACACUAUAUUCUGUUUUAUUUGAUGUCAUAAGAAAUUAUGUUAUAUUUACGUUCAAUAUAUUAUUUUCUCAUUACAAAAUCAUAUAUAGACUAAUAUAAAACACAUGUAUACAUCGAUACAAAACUCAUAUCAAUAGAACAUGAAACAACAAAAAACAAGAUUGAACCAUUUCUUUCAAGCAUCGAAUAAAAUAUAACUUACUAAAUAAUACAUUAUAUAUUAAUAAACAUAACAAAUAAGAGAAGAGUUGUUCCAUUUCAUAAAAUAGUAUAGAAAUGCUAUUACCUUCCAGCUCAUCCUUGACAAACCUGAAAAACACAAUGAAAAAUAAGCACACAUUAGUGUACAAGUUGGACGGAAAUGACAGCAUAUGAGAUAGGCUACUAGUAUAUGAGUUACUCUAUGCUUAUGUUAAAUGUUUAGUUUUGUCAAUCGAAAAUAACCUAUGCGAGUAAAGAAGUAACAUAUGCAAUUAGAAUUAUACCAUUUGAAAUAAUACAUAAUAUAUAUAUGGAAAGGAACUGAAGGUCAGAUGGAAUGGAAAAUGAAUAAUAUAUUAGUUUUGAUACGAUUUUUCAAAAAUAGCAGAGAAUGGAAUGACACGUAACCAGUCUCUAAAACUAAGAUUUUCCAUUUCUAAUAGCACAUGUUCCAUAAGAUAUUCCAUUUCACAGAGAAAUAAACUUGUUUUAUCGUAAAAGGGCUUUUCAUUCUAAAAUAACUAUCCCAUUCGCAGUAAACAAUGAGUAUGACGAACUAAGAAAAGUUCAACCCUAAAUCAAUUUGUUUGCCUCAGCUUACUAGAUUGGACAUGCAACAUAAACAAUGGGUUCGAAACUUAGAAUAGACUAGGGCCGAAUCUAUUCCAAAUAAGGGGAAAAGUAUAGAAAUAAUAUAAUAUAUGGCACAAAACAGAGAACUUACAAUAUUGCAACAUAUCUCAACAUAAUCGCCAAUACGAAGGAGAUGAGGCUAUGGUGGUCGUUCAUGACAAUCACAUUUACGAACUCUUCUGAAUCUCCUUCGAAUUCCGAAUUCCGAAUCGGUGCGCUUGACGAACCUAUGACGAGUGACGAGUUUGAAUGGAAGACAAUGACUCCGCGGUGGAUGGAAAAACAAUAUACGGUGGAAUCUGCUGCUUGAUUUCACGCCGGUAACUUUUCACCUUCUCGAAAAGUGACGAAGAAGAAGAAGUUACUUUUGGGAGAUGUGUGACUUCCUGAUGACCACGCGUAAUUUUUGCUUGGUUGGGUAAUUGAUAAUUUUUUUUUUAAACUGCAAGUUACGCCGGUUGCGUUGAAGACUAACAAAGUAAUAUUAUAUAAAAUACACUUCAUAUCGAUGUAUGAUAGGAUAAUUGGCUAUACAGCUAAAUAUAGAGAUGUCAAUUGGGCUUUCCCGUCCCGUCCUGUCCUGGACCGCUGCAGGUUUGUCAUCGGGCGGGACAUGGUGGGUCUGUUCCGCGCAGAAUGCGGUCCUGAAAGUAGCUACCCAAUCAUGUACCGCAUUUUUUAUAGGCCUUCGCGGACCGUCCCGCGGGAUAUUGGAUAUUACACUAUCUACUUCUUCCUACACAAACAAACAUAAACAAGAAUGAGUUUCUGCAGGAACAAACACCAAACACGAACGACUUGAUCAUAGCAAAGUCUAUUUCUUUCACUUAAGACUAUUUUUUUCUUUGUGUUACAUAAUCGUUAGCUUGCUAUUAUGAGUCAAGAGAUUCCAUGGCAAAAAAUUUAACGGUAAAUACAAAAAGAAAAUCGAAAAAGAUAGGGCCAUUUCGCAAUACCUUGACCCAAGUUAAUUUUUUGUAUCUUUCUAAUCAUAUAAGAAUACCAUGAAGACACAACACAAGUAUUUGGCAAUUUAAUUAUCAAGCACAAUGCGUGUACGUAUACGUGUCUAGCACAAUUUAAUUAUCAAGCACAAUACCAUGAAGAAACAAUACGUGUACGUGUAGCUAUGGAGAUUAGUCUUUCAGCUGAUAUGCAUCAUUGUUAUAUGCAUAUAUAGAUUAGUUGACAAGGCUGUAACUACAUAUAGCUUAGUCUUGUUGCGGACACUCCCGGUUAAAGCUUCCAAGAAUUUAACUCUCUUUCUACAAAUAGAUAUACUAGCGCUGAGAUUAGCGUUGCACACAUGUUGUAGAAGAGGACUACGCUUAUUUCUUCAGGGUAUAUCUCCAUGAUCUGAGUCUGAAAUCAUGUACAGCUGCUUACUUUAGCUCGACUUUAAGCAUUACCAUCAAACUUAAAGCUUUAAGUUUAUCUAAUACCUGAAGAAUAUACCAGACUGAAAGUAGCAAAAACUGUAAAACUAGCAAAAGGCCUCCAAUGAUCCAACUUGGCUCACAUGAAGUAAAAGAUGCAGCAACAAGAAGCUUUGGGCCUUUAUAAAGAACAAUAACAAGAGCACCAGAUAUAGAUACUAUCGUGCCAUUGAUUUUAGCCUGAGUUGCAGAGCUUCUUAACAUCACUUGUUCCAUCCUUUAGGGUCACCCGAGAAGAAAAACCACUUAGAUGAUAUAGCAACACACAAUACCUCGUGUUUCAAAACAAGGAAAUAGUAGAGAAGAGAGUGGAACCUGAAGAAGACGGCAAGCAUGAAGGUGAAAGCUGGUGUGAGGUUGCUUAUAGCAGAAGAAAGAGUUGGGGAACUAUAUUCUAUUCCUUUACAACCAGCUAUCCGCGAGGUAAGCCUGUUUUACGCCAAGAUAGCAAACUAGAAAACGAAAAGCCUAAGAAUACUCAUAGAUCUUGAAACAGUUACCCAAGAAGCGUAAGUAAGAAAAUCUUGGUAAGAUAAGCGUUAUGUUUAAAUGUCACAGAUAUCUGGGUAAGGAUAGCAUGUACUUUCUUAGUGCUGUAGCCACAGAUAUCUGGGCCAAACAUGAUGAUGCAGGUACAAAGAGAAGAUAAGCGUUAUGUUUAAAUGUCUGAUCUCAUGUUGAUGGUGAAAAAAAUUGUACCUGUAAGGAGUGUCUCCUCCAAAUUUCUUCUCGUCAACAUCAUCACUGAGAAGCUUCAUGUAUCCACCACCGCAGUCAAGCUUCUGCUCGUGCUUGACAGAGAAUUGGAAGACAAGGGUCUUGUCCUUGUUGCUGAACUCGGGGAACUCAUCAAAAUUUCGAAAUCACAGAAUGCAUAGAUCUACCAACAAUCAAAACCAAACAUUUCGAAAAAGUUCUAUCGAUUCAAAGUGAGGAUGAAGAAAGCAACGGAAGCGACGAAGCGUAUGCGGGUGAUGUGGGCCGUCCCGCGGUUGAUGCGGGCCAUCCCGCUUUAAACCCGGUACCGAACAAGCCCAGUCCCGCAAGGCCCGCUAUUUUGCGGGUCAUGAAUCUCUAGGCCCAUACCCGCCCCGCACCAAACCCUUUUGGGCCAGGCCCGCGGUCCAGUACCCAGUUUGCCAUCCCUAGCUAAAUAUUGUUUUUUUCUUAGCCAUACGGCCUAAUUUCCCAUGAUUCAGUUCAGUUCUCAGCCUAAUGUUCCUAUUCAAAUGACUAACCAAAUGUAACAAAAGAAACGCUGAAAGAAGAAAGCUUACGGGUACUCAAUCUGUUGUAUCCUCAUUAACAAGGUGAGUCCAUUUAUUUCUUCCACUGCGACCAAAGUGCUUGACUUGCAUGACUUUUGGCAGAAUCGAUUUGUCCAACCUAUUCUUCUCCCGUUGGUGCAGAGAAGUCUCGCUGAAUAUUACCAUCGAUUUCCACGGAUCCUGCCUGGAAGAGGCAACCUUGUACUAGUAUUUGUACAUUAAAUUUCAGUUCUUUUUCGGUGUGGAAUGUAAUCAAAAAAAUAUCAUAUUUACUAGCUAAAGCAUAAAAUUGCAUGGAGGUUUUACAAGUGAUCAGGAUGCUAGUACAUGGAUGAAUGAUAUAUCAUCCCCUUGCUGAUAUAAUAUAUUUACAUAAUAGGAAGCAAAUCCUUUUGGUAAUUUGCAAAUUCAAAUCACCCCCACCUGUUUAAUAGAACAAACGUGCUUCUACACAUACAACAAAGCAUAUGAAAAGAACAAUUACUUGCAAAUGCCAAAGUGAUUCCAUUGUUGUUCUUAUGGGUAGUUUCACCAUUGCAACAUCCAACAAGGAGGUAAGUGUUUCUGAAGCUCUCAAACUGAAGUAUCAAUUUAAAAAAAAAAAAAAAAAAAGCUUAUUUGUAACAAAGAAGGCAUGAUUAAAUUACAAAGAAAAAUGGUUUAAUUUGAGAACAAACUAGGGAAAUAACAAACAGGAUAUCCAGAGGCUUUAGGAAAGCAAUCUAAAACAUAAGAUUUGGUAUGGAGAUCAUGUAUCACCAGUGGUGGACCACUCCUAUAACCAAGCAAUAAUAUGGUCUCGUCUACAAUAGCUAUUGGCAACAGUGCUGGUCGGGGAAAAUAAGGAGGGUCAUGAAAAGUGGUUUCGGUGAGAUCUAUCGAACACAUUUGCUUCCAUGUCAUCAUCAUGUUGCAGCCGCCGAGUGACCAUAUCACUUGGGUUUUGGUGGGAUAGAAUUUGAGGGAUACGCACAAGCGGUUAUCGAGGAUGCACAAGACGACAAAGCGAGGGUCAGGUACAUGGGAAAAGGGGGCGUUACAGAUGACUUUAAAAGUUUCCGUGUGAAGAUCAAAAGACAACAACUUGGUUUCUUUACACUCGGUUAACCAAUAAAGUGACCCGUCAAAAUACACAGGCCUCGGGCCAUCAAGAAUCCGAUAGGGAGAAGCAGGGAGGACGUCCCUCCAAGCAUUAGUGGUAAAGUCGAAAACUUCACAAGUGGUGGCAUUGUCUAGGUCAAACUCAGAAGAGUUAAAGAGCCAAACCGGCUUGUAUGUGCCCCUGACUUUGUCUUUGCCGAAUCCUAGCUGAGGUUCUCGGGUGUGGCAGAAUAGGUUGCUACGUGCUUUAAAGUGAGAGAUGAUGAGCCGUUGAACCCUCGAAAGAGAAAAGCUUCGACGCCAUCUAGUGGCGGGAUUAAAAACGGCACUCGGGUGGCGGUUGCUGAAAAGGCAUACAAGUCCGUCACAAGUACCAUAGCAAACCUUGUCGCUCCUUGUAGGGAACUUGAGGCUACGAAUUACACAAGACCCCACCACAAUAUUAGCUUCUUCUUCUUUUAUUUCGUCUUCUUCAUUACCAAACCCGGUCACGUAUACGACAUCUGGACCUCGUGAUUUCCUACGGGUGAUCAUCAGUUGUCUCUGUUUGAAACUUGGGGACUCGAUUGUUGAUUUCCACGUCUUAGAUACAGACUUGAAUCUCAGCAGAGACACCACAGGAAGUCUCUCGAGGAUGAGCUCAACGACAUCGUCUGGUAGCAAUUCGCCAUGUCUUUUCAACAUUCUCUUGUUGUCUCUCAAGACACGAUCCAUCGAAGCUUUCCUAUAUACUAUAUAGACACACGAGUCUACUUAUUAGAUUUAAGAAGAAUAAAAAAAAAAUGGAAAUCUAAUAAUCGAAUCAUAUCCACAAUAAACACUGAUUACCUCAUCGCCCAAAUGAUCUCCUCGAAUCCUUCUUCCAAUCCCUCAUGAAUCGAUUUUUAUCCCCUUUUUUUUAAUAUUCUGUACGAGAUAGACAGAGAUCUCGUUCCGACAGAACACCUCUUCGCAACCCCUUUUUCUGUAAGAGACGUCCACAAACUGAGUUAAGUUACUAAGUUUUAUCCCUUUUGUCUUUUUCUAAGCCCAAUAACUUAUAAACUAGUCAUUAGAAACUAUACUGGGCUUUCAUAGGCCUUAUUAAUAUUUGUUUUAUAUUCGGCCUUGAUUUUAACAUCUCGAAUCUUUAACUGUUGUUUUCUUACUGUUUCAGAAUGCUUUUGCUUGUUUAUUACCGAUGACACUAUAAUAGUCCAAAUUCCCCAAAAUCCACAGAACUCCAUGUGCUAAUGGUUGUUUAACGAAAUGGAUGUGAAUCUCCAAAGGGCCACUAUCACACUUACAUGGAUAGUUCUCUUAAUAACAUCACAUGUUUAUCACAACCUUCGUAAACAACUCGUUUUGAUUUCAUUCUUUUGUAUUAGAAACAUCUGCUUUCAACAUUGUGGCAAAAUAAACCAAAUCAAAACUCAAGCAUAAAUGUUACACAGGUUGCCAUGAAUCACAGCUUGCAACGAGCCUGGUACAAGAGAAAAGAGAUCAAGAUGAAUAAGAAAGAUACGUUAAUCAUACCUAAGUUCAACAGAGAUUACGAGCACUCGGCGAUGCUCACAAAGAAUCUUCUCAGAUCAAAGGAGUGGUGGGAACUGGUCGAGACAGGGAUCUCACAACCUGGAAGGAAUGUGAUCCUUACCGGAGUACAGAGAACGGAGUUGGCUGAGCAGACCGUGAAGGACCACAAGGUCAAGAACUACUUGUUUGCAUCGAUAGACAAGAUCAUCCUCAAAACCAUUCUGAAGAAGGAUGCCUGUCAAAAGCAGUGAAAAGACUGGAAAUAUCGUUAGCCAGUUUCAAUUAACCAAAGUUCCAUCCCAUUUAGCGACACAAGUCCGUUGCUCAUUUCAUUGAAUCAACUUGGUGAUUCUGCUGCUAAUUUAGCGUGACAUGUGGUGCAAAUGAAAAAGCAAUGUUCUUUUUUUUUUUUUUUUUGUCAACUUUCCUUUUCAUUAGAGAAGCCUAACUGGGCAUUACAUAAGAGGAGUACAUACAGCCCAUUUUUAAUAAAACAGACUUGACUAAAAUAUACCAAACAUCAGGCCCAUUAUUAACCCUAAAAGUCUUCGUCUCUCUUCAAUUGUCCCGUAAGAUUCCACGCGUCUCUUGAAGGAUGAGCCUAAACACCUGUCCUCGCCUGAUUUUGCAUGAAACGUGAAAGCGGUUGGGGUAGACACGCUCUCCCACGCGCCACUGCAUGGAAUAAUCUGAGACGAAACUCCACCGUGAAACAACGAGCUUUGUUGCUGGGUCUGCUUAUGAACUCCUCGAAUCUCCUAUCUUUCGUUCCAUCCGCUGCCUUUGAAGAAGCACUGUCACCACCGAAUAAUAAAUUCUGGGAAAAUUCAACUGUUCCAAUAACAAUCUUAUCGGACCAUCUUCAUAUAGAAAGAUGCCAACUCAUCUAAAUCACCAUUGGAAUCAGCCGAACUCCAUCCAACAUCACUUCCUCCUUCUUGUCCAGGAGACUUCACUUCUACGCCGAUUUACUGGCACCACUUUCUGGGUGAGUGAAGAUUGAUUCCUUUAGAGAAGGGUUGAGUGCGAAUCCGAAAUAGCAGCAGAGAUUCAACUUUGGCAAAACGGGAUCUGAAUAAAGAUCUGCGAAAGAGGAGGAUUUGAUAACAACAACCCCAUCGAAGAAUCAAGAUAAAAGCCAUGAAGAUUUGCUUCAAUCGAGGCUGAAAACACCACAAAAAGGUCGCCACUGCGAAACUUCAAGUCACCUAGUGAAAAAGAGAUCCGCAACCGGAAAUAUUUACAUCAAAAAAACAAAAGAAAAGAGAUGGUAACCGGCGGCGAAGGCCACCGGCCACCGUACGCUGUUUAUGCUUUAAAGAGACUUUCUAGAGAGAAGUUGGAGCUCGAAGAAGAGAGAGGUUUUUUUAAAUGCGAAAAAAAAAAAUUUUAUAGCAUAUUUCUACCUUGAAAUUACCAUCAAACUUGCAUUGGAAAAAUAUGAAAAUAAAAAUGUUUUAGUGAUGCAUGCAGAAACAUAAACUGUAUCUUGAUUAAUCCCAUAACUGUGUCUGGUUCGAUACAAAAGACGCUCCGACCAGAUGUCUCUUGUCCACGAUCUCACGGUAAUAACAAAGCAAAUGGUACUAAUUGCUGCGAUUUAGUUAUUCUCAGAGAUAACAGCGUAAGCUGUUUUUCUUUCACUACAACAUACCACCUUGUUUCAGUUUUUUGGCUUAAACUCGGUCAGAUCUUGAAGCGGCUUUACGUCUCCCAAUCUUUCAUCUUCUUGCUCCCCUUUGGUUUCUCAAUAGGACCAUUCAUGCCCGCCAUUUUCUUGUUGUAUUUUUCUCGUAAAGGAUCAUUAGAAGUCCACCUGCACAAUCAUUCAUCAUGCAAAAAAAAAGAAAUAAUUCAAAAUCUGAAGCUCCAUAAACCAAUCAACAGACACAACACUCUCCCUAACAUAACACUAUUCACAUUUGCUUCCAACGAUUGAGUUCAGUUCUCAGCCUAAUGUUUCUACUCAAAUUCUAAACAAGUCAGUCUUCAAAAUCAAUAGCCUAUGACUAACCAAAAUGUAACAAAAACAAAAGCUGAACGCAGAAAGCUUACGGGUUACUCCAAUCUGUUGUAUCCUCAUUAACAAGGUGAGUCCAUUUAGUUCUUCCACUGCGACCAAAGUGCUUGACUUGCAUGACUUUUGGCAGAAUCGAUUUAUCCAACCUAUCUUCUCCCGUUGGAGCAGAGAAGUCACGCUGAAAUAUACCAUCAGUCCCCACGGAUCCCGCCUCAUCAUCAGGAUCCGCCUGGAAGAAGGCUCCCUUGUGGUAGUACUUCUGCAUGAAGUUCCACUUCUUCUUCGGUUGAACCGACGAAGCUUUCGGAUUCUUCCUCUCCCACUCUCUCCUCUCCUGCUCCGUCAUGUUCCUCAGCUUCUCAAUCUCUUCCCUCUCCCUCAACAUAGCCUCCUUCGCAUCACGCUCUCUCUUGAUCCUAGCGAUCUCUCUCGUCUUCCAAACCUCGUACUCCUCAGCUUCGUUGAUUUCAUCAUCAGUCUCAACAUCUCCAAUAUUCGCUUCUUGCAAUAACAUGUUCUUGCGUAUCUCUUCGUCUUUCCUGACUUCCUCAACCACUAUCUGCUUCGUCUCUAUCUUCCUCAUCUCGAGCUUCCUCUUCGCUAACUCCUCGAGAGCUUGCUCCUCAGCUUCAAGUCUUUCACGCUCUGCGACCGUGUCUCUCUCAGCUUUGGGGACAAAGACAGGCUUGAUCAUGGUGAUAUUACCGGGCAUAUCAUCUUCAGAAUCAGUCUCGUACUCAGACUCCUCUUCCUCCUCGUCUUCCUCCUCUACCUCGUCCUCUUCCUCCACAGGUAGCAGAUCAGCCUCCUCUUGAGCUCUUUUGAGAUUCUUUUCUCUGAUUCUCCUCCUUCUUUCUUCCAAAGCAUCUUCAUCUUCUUCCUCGUCUUGGUUCCUCAACUCUUCUUCUUCGGUAGAUAUAAUCUCAGCCUGCCUAACGCGACGGUGAUCGGCUCUAACUUCUUCACGGUUGUCAGCUCUGGUCUGAGCUAAACGACGCAGCCUCGGGUCAUCCUUCCUAGCAACCCCCAAAUCAUCAUGCUUUCUAUCCGAAACAUCAGCCUUGUGCAUCCUAACGUCCUCAUCAUCCUCGGCCUCAUCGGCCCACUCGGGAGCUUUACCAGGCCAGUAUCUUUUCACUUUAGUCUGACCAAUCCCACCUCGGAGUUUAGCUCUUGUAGCUAGUGCAGCUUCACUCACUCCCGCUGUGACAGACAUCUUUGAACUCGCGAGUAGUCAAACUCAAAUUAUAUUGACUAUUUGUUCUCUACACCAUGAAAGAAAACAAAAUAUAUACAUGGAUUAGAUUCAAAACUUGACGUCUCUAGUAUUCCAGCAGAAAAAGAAAUGGCCUACUUCCAAAUCAAUAAUACCAAUGAGACCAACACAUAUUCGACUAAGUAUGUCUGUGUAAUAUCAGCAUAUCUCAAACACAUUCUGAUUCUAGCGUAAGCACAUAAACACCAUUCCACCAUAAGAUCACCAAAGAGACGAUUGUAGAUUUUCACAAGAUAAAAAAGGCAAAAGAGGAAUCAAUCUUCUAUCAAAUCUGAGUAAUUUGUCCAAUUUCAACAGGUAGACGAACCUCAAGCUUUGAUAUACGGAAUACACAAUAAUAACAAUCAAAACGACUAGAAGGCGAAUCAGAAACGGGAGAAUCCAAGCUACGAAAAACUUGAUGAUGAGAGAACAAGGAAACAAAAGUAUCCAGAAGAAAUUGACAAGAAAGUAAAUUAGCUUACGCUUUUGGAGAAACCUUUACGUUCAGAGAGUUAGCGAAUAUCAAAUUCGACAAUGCGAAGGAAGCCCUAGUAAACCGUGGCGAGACGGAGGCGGAGAGGAGACGAAGACGGUGGAGGUAUUGAAACCGGAGCCUCGGGACAGAACACAAAAGGACCAUGCGAAAACUCAUAACUACUCAUUAGAAACUCUACUGGGCUUUUUAAUGGGCCUUAUUAGAAUUGGUUUAUAUUAGGCCUUAAAUUUAACAUCUUGAUCCUAAACUGUUUUCUUACCGUCUGAAAAUGUUUUUACUUUGUUCAGUGUUUACUGAUGAAAAACUAGAGUCCAAAUGGUAAAACAAACGGAUUUCGAUAUGCUAAUUGGUUGUUGAAGGCAGCUGAGAAGACAGGCUCCCUAGAAAAUGUUGAUGUUCUUCUCUCAUGCCUUCCUCUGUCAGCUAUCUUUUCUUUUGGUGUUUUAUUUGUCUCACGUUGAUGAGCAUAAAUGCGAGACAUUUAAAACCAAAAACAGAGGAUAGCUUUAGCAGUUUGGUCCAUUCAUUUGACCGUUCAAAGUUCAAACACAAACACACAAGAAGAAGAAACAGACCAGCAGAGAACUGAAAACACGUUAACAGAAAUAGACACCAAAAAAGCUCUCAUAACUAUGCGGCGGCGCCUGAGGCCACAUCUCCGGCUGGAGAAGCGGCGGCGGUGACACCACCGUCGUCGGAAGAAAGAGCGAGCGGAGUCCAAUCCGGAGGGAGAGGAGGAAGAGGAGCAUACACUGUAGGCUUUCUCUUAAUGUCCCAAGGCUGAGUCUUCUUCGGCCUUGUCUUCCUGUGAUGGGCGGUCGACUUCUUCUGCGGCCUCGACGAACACUCUAUCACCAUUCCCAUUCCUCCUCUGUUGCCCAAUUUCGGAACUUGAAACUGGCGAAGAGCCGAAGAAGCAGCGACGGUGGCGAUUCCGGUGCCAAAGAUAGCAGACACAGACAUUGUUGUUUCGUCUUAUCUUUUCUGCUUGCAGUGGAAGUGAAGUGAGUGUGGAGCCUCUAGCUUCGGAUUAGAGACAUCAUAUCUUGUCCAAGUUUUCGUUUUAUCUUGAUGGGCUUUUUUAAUGUUUAUUGGGCCCUUUUAUACAUAAAUGUGUGUAUUUACUAUUUAGUGGAGGAUAUAAUAACCCAUGGUCACAAGUUUAGUAACGGCCAUGUUCAACUCAUUAUGGUGCACGCCUGUUGCAAGUAGCUAUUUAAUUCGUUACGCAGUGCUGCACGCCUGCUUUUCAUUUCGCAAAACGGUAUGGAAAAUCGCAGAAAAGGGACUGCGUAAAUCAAGUGUUGAAAAAUAAUAUUUUAAGUGUGUUUUCAUAAACCCUCUAGUCAUCUAGUGCAGAGAUUGACUAAAAAUGUUAAUAAAUGUUUUACCACAAAAUCUGAGGUUUGAUUCCUAAAAAAAUGUAAUUCAUGCAUAUUAAUAGUUACAACCUUAAAAAUAUGCAGCAUGAAUCUUAUUUUAACUGAUAGAAUUACCUGUUGACCAUUUGUUCUAAAAUUAUAAUAAAAUGUUUGCAAUAAAAAAAAUGAAAUCAAAAUUUUGGAUGACAGAAAAGAUUUAGAAACUGAUGUAGUUUAAAUCUCUUUCAAAAAUUUCAAUACUUUAUCCGUUCUCUUUAUAGAUAUUUUCAAUCAUUUGUCGAUCCAUCAUAAUGAGACACUAAUUUUCUGAUGAGUUCUUAAAAGGUUCUUGGCAAGUUGCAACUUAAAAUCCAUACUAAUCUUAGACAUUGGUUAUAUUGUUAUUUCUAAAAGAAAACGUACAAGAAAGCCAACUUGCUCGACAUUAACUGACAUUCUAGUACAUUCAUUUGGUUUUAGACUUUUAGUGGCUAUUAAGGUUUCCAGUGCGUUUGUUUAACCAGAUCCUCCUAUCUAAUCAUGGUUAUGUAUUAAUUCAAUAUAAUUAACAUGCCUAAAUUAGGCUUUAGAGUAACUACUAUCACCAACAUACAUAACAUAACAUAACCAACUUCAUAUAUAAUAUAUUCCACUCUCACAUCUUGUCUAUAGUUCCUAAAAAUAACUAAUCAAAUAACGGCAAAUAUUGACUGCGAUGAAAAGUACUCUUAUUUACGUAUGACUCAAAAACAUACGUAAAUUAUGGCCAACAAUGAGAUUACUUUAGUUUCAUAUACGUGACUUGCAUUAUCCGAGGCAUUCACAAAUCCACGUGCAUCAGAUUACCACCCCUUAUUUUUCUUGUCUACAAAUAGUUAUCUUAUUCUUUAUUUACAAUUAGUACUAUAUACCUACAUACAUAUCAACAGCUCAGCCAUUUGAUUUUUCGUACGAGGAGAUUCUGUCGGUUAGACCAAAUUUGGUGUCACAAAACCUAUGGUACCCAUUGGCCAUUGCAUAUUUGCAUUACGUUUUGCAAACCUUAUCCUUAUCUUACUAUCCUUGAAAUAAUAACCGGGGAUAAAGUUCAAAGAAUAAUAGGAUUAAUAAUGAUAACUGUUGAUAUAUAAUUUAUAAAAACGAACUUAACAACUAAAUUGCAUACGUUCAAAAUUGUAUUUACUAUCGUUAUGCAUGCAUAUAUUUUUGCUGUAAAUGUUAAAAUUAUGCAUGCAUAUAUGUAUUCUUUUCUAAAAACGGUAGUUAAAAUAAAUGCGCCAAAUAUAUAAAAUAUAAUAUGAUAUAUGUGUUUUACGAUAUAAUUUAAUUUAUGGUUUGCGUAUGCAUGUAUCUGUCUGUUUACGGGUAAGUGUCUUGUAUGAAGGCCUAAUUUGAGCCAUGUGAUUUCUUUGUUGAGGCAAAUUUUGGCACAUCGACAAGAGGACCAUAUGAAUCGACUGUUCUCGUAUUCCCUGCAUUAUUGCAACUAUUUUAUAAACUAUUUUCUUGGAAUAAUAAGAGUUCAUAUUUUGUACUGCAGUGUCACGCCAGCUAGAUGAAUAUACCAGGAAUCUUUCGAUCCUUUUAAAAAAACAAUUCCUAUUCAUUUUCCGACCUAAAUAAAAGAUAUACUGAUCCUUGUGUUUUUUGACUAAAGAUACUGAUCCUUGUUGGAUUAUAAUAUUACAUGAACCAUGAAAUACGUGACUUCUUUGCUAGAUUGUAUGUGCAAGUUUUUUUAAUAAAGGUUAGCCGAUUCUUAUGAUACAUAUGUCAUGUGCUAUAGAUUGUUCAGCGCCUCGUACUAGAAUUCAUAUUCAUAUGUUUUUUUUUCUUAUCAAGCUUUGUUGUUACCGAUUCGAAUUUUAAAUAAAAUGUUUUGAAAGUUGAUUAAUCCAAAAAAAAAAAAAAAUUGGUGUAUAAAAGGGAUCUCACCUCUUUAUCAAGAAUCUGAGUGGCAGAAUUUUUAGUACACCUCUUUAUCAAGAAUCUGAGUGGCAGAAUUUUUAGUAAACUCUCAUUUUUCCACUAGCCUAACAGCUCAUUUGUGUAUCCAAUCUUUAUCGGGUCUAAAACUAUAUUUUAUGAACUCAUGUAUUUUUUUUUUUUUUGUCAUCUUUUAGAUUAAUUGAAAGUUCCAACAUACAAAGACCCUUUACAACCAAGAUAACCCAUCUCUAGUAUACCCUAACCAAAAAAAAACUUUGAAACAGACUUCAAAGUAAACUCAUGUACAGCUACGGUUUUCUUUUUCUUUUGUCAUCUAACUACAAUUUCUUCUUUAUAUAACUAAAAACCAUUUAUCUAAUAUUAAGAUUAUUUGUAAAGUAAGAUAUUAGUAUAAUAGACUAAAAAUAACAUAUCUAUCUUAUUAAAGUAGAAGUACCUUUUGAUUUUGUUUGGUAACAUGAAUAGUAAAGUUAAAAAAUAAACACAAAUUUUGUUUGGACACAAAGAUAACAUCUAUUUAAUCAAAUGUCGUAAGUGGAUCAGUUAUAAUAAUAUGCCCACCUAAGAAUAUGCCAACAGAUAAUCUGCUUGAUUAGGUUUGCUAAAAUCAGCUUCUAUCAAGGUAUAUACAUCCUCAAAUUUAAUAAUAUCUUCACAUAAAGUCAUAUCUAACUUAUAAAAUAUAUGUUAAUGUUUUUGUAGGUGAUAUACAAAUCACAAAUGCAUUUGAUGCUUCACUUGUAAUCCUCAACCCAACCAUGAAAGAAGCCAUCGAGUUUAGAGAAAAGUAAGUGAGCCAUGACUGAUAGUAUUGGUUAUCUAAUAAAAUUGAAUGCAUUUGCAUGUUUUAAUUGGAAAUUUAUAUUUUGGCGAUUUACAGACUGUUGCAAGUGAAUCUUCCUCUUGCUAUUAUGGGUACAAAGAGUGACAAUCAAGUGAUUAAGCGCCAAAAAACAGAUUGGGACGAUGUUCAAUUCAGAUCAAUUGCUGAGAUAUUGGUGGCAAUUGAGGUUGUAUUAGCAUUUUAUAUAUCUCACUAACAAGCAUUGUAUUGAUUUUUUUUCGGUGUAUUGCAGGUUCAGAGUUGCAAAAUAAUAUGCUCAAUUGAAUCUGUCGAUACAGAUUGGGGUUGGUUCUACUUUGGAUGUUGUGUCUGCAAUAAACGUGUCACUAGGAUUCGUCGGAAUGAGUUGGCUCAAAACGAGAAACCAUUAUGGUAUUGCGAUAAAUGUCGCUCAAAUGUCACAAAGGUUGAACCGAAGUAAGUGCCUCUUUUUCUGUUAUUUUUGUAUUCCCAUGAAUCUGAAUUAUAAUGUUUAUCACUAAUGCGUUUGUGAAUAUAAACAGGUACAAGCUGCAUUUGAAUGUUAAAGAUGACAGUGGUUCAUGCAAAUUGAUGAUGCUUGACACUAUAGGCAGUACUAUUGUUGGUUGUGAGGCUGUUCAAAUUUGGGAUGGGUCAUACGAUGAGGCAAGUAUAUUUUACAAACGCAUAACAAUUCAUUUGUAUAAAUUUUAAUAGUAUUUAUUUUAUUUUAUUUGUAGAUUGAAGAUCCUGAAAUAAUCCCUAUGCCCCUCGAGAGUUUAGUUGGAAAGUCAUUUUCUUUUGGUAUUUCAAUAACCUCUGGAAAUCUAGAUAAUGGAUCAAACACUUUCUAUGUUUCCGAAGUAUCGACUGGUAAUGAUCUUCCUAAACUGGAGACUCAAUCUGAACCUGUUUCGGCUUUAGACACUAAUUCGAGCACUCUGUCCAGUGGAGAGGUUUGUUAUUCAGACUUCGUUUGAUCUAUUUCAGUUGAUAUUUUAUAAGAUUGUUUAUAUACUUAUUUUAGAUUUUUUGUGUUUGUAUUUAUUAUUCCAAGGUUCUGAUGCUCAAGCCAAGCUCUGAGAGUUCAUCUGAAGGAUUCACCACACCAGCUGUCAAGCGAAAGGAAGAAGAUGCUGAGCUGAAAGACAUUACCUCAACCUCUAAGAAGUUGUGCACUAAGCCAGUGAAGUUGGAGAAGAUUAAGGAUGAUAUUAAGUGACUGACGGAUUAGUUGCUUUCUGAAGUGGAUUUUCGUCUCUGGUUUAUUUUUCUGAGUUUAUUUCAUUUGUUUUCCUACCUAAGAGCAUUUUAGACUCUAAUAAUAUUUUAUGCAUUGUCUUUCUACUUAAGAGCGUUUUGAACUAUAAUAAUAUGAUUCAUGUGUUUUUUUAUAUAUUUUGGCAUUCAGUUAACCAUGUUUAAUGAUUUCAUUAUUGGCUGUUCUAUCUUAUUUCUACAAAAAUCGACAGGUCCUAAAUCCUCAUAAUCAUAAACUAGCAUAUUUCACUGAUCCAAAACCUAUAAUUCGACGUCCUAUUCUACCAUACAACUUAGCAUUCUGUUUAGGAAAAUGUGUACAACUUACAUGAGUUCUGUGUAUGAGUUCUGUGUAUGUUCAUAAGUGAAAGUCUGAAGAUUACUUUGAUUUUCCGAGCUUCUCUGAUUGACCUAAAAAAAUAGGAACUUAUGGUUAGUAAAACAAUACAGUUAGGAAGUAAAAAUUCUUAUACAAAUUCGUAGAGAAAAUCAAAAUUCCAACAUAAAAAGUUACAAUAUAAUUAUAUUAAUCGGCUGAUUAAACCAGAAGAUCACAUGAGGAUCUUUUAUAAUUUAUAAGAUCCUCAAUUAAUCCCCAAAAUCUAAUACAGUUUACAUCCUACGCAAAUUUAUUGCUAAUUUGAACGAUUUAGUAACAAUAUCCAAAACAAAUCCUUUUGCAAAUAUCCUAAUACAGUUUACAUCUUAACCAGACGUUUGCAUUUUAAUAUCUUACCAAUAUCGAUGGAACUUUUACUUUGCAAAUAUUUAGUUUCUAUUAUCUUCUUAACAUGAACUAAACUCCUAAAAUUAUUAUAUCGAGUUUAAGAAUAUUUCGCAAAUGCCAAAACAAAAAACAAACCCGUUCUAUCAGACAAUCACCAGUACAUGAAUUUUCAAGGAGCUUUGACAAACUUUCGAAACCAGAACCGAGUCAAGUUCUAUUAGUACCGCUGCCGGAAAAUAACCUAAGUUUCUCAUUCCAAGCAUCUAUGAAACGAAAACGUGAUCUUGACAAAGGUGUCUCUAAUAAAGAGAAUCAGCCUCUUCUUCCAUAUGAAAACAUCCCAACUGGCAGAAUACGAGACGAACAGAGCAUAUAUCGAACUACAAGAGUGCAAAGGGAAAAUGAUUCAGUUCCAUUAACGUCUAUUUUUAAGAGGCUUUGUGAAGGUGUUUCUAAGCAUACUGCCACCACAUCUAUUGGUUCUAUAGAUGAACAAAUCUAUAACACUCCAAAAACAUCAAGAAACAAACGGAAGGGAUUUAGUGGUACUCUAUAUGCAUUUUCAUAAUUUCUAUUUGUAGUAAUUCCUAUUAAAAUCUAGAUUUUUAUAUUCUCUUUGCAAGUUUUGGGAUUGUCAUCAAAUGCUUCAAGCUAUACUCCAGAACAGAGAAGUUGUCUCACUGCGUUAUCAUGUAAGUAAAUAUUACUUACUAUUGAUAUGAAAAGCUUCCAUACUCUGUAUUGAUAUGAAAAGCUUCCAUUUUUUAAUAAUCAGUGUCUACACCUACUUGUCAACUUAAAUUCGAGUUGUUUUUACACAUUCAUAGCAAGAGAUUUAAACAGAGGUGAAGGAAAUGAAGAGCAUGUGAAAAAAACAAAUAAACAAAGGACAACUCAACUACCCAUGCCUAUCAGUCCAGGAGUAGGUUUAUUUGGUUCUACCGAACAGCAAAUAUUAACCACUCCCAAAAACCCAGCAAACAAGCACAAGAGGAAGACAGGUAACUGGUCUUCUAUAUUUCAAAAUUUUGCGCAACCUAAAUUAAAUAUGUAGGCGUUAAACUAAAGUGAAAGAUGUUACUUACUUAUAUCAGAACUGUGUUUUACAUCUUGACAGCAGCUAACAUUACUCCGGAACAGAGAAGACCUCUCACUUCAAUAACCUGUGAGAAAAAUAUAAAAUAUAGAUGUUAUAUAUAAGAUGACAUCGAGUUUUCGAAAUACCAUGUAUGUGUAUGCCUAAUUAUCUUUUUUUGAUUUCCAUAAAUAGCAAGAGAUAGAAUCAAUGUAGGAGACAAUGACUUUGAUGUUAAAAUCUCAAAGAAACGAAGAAAGAACCCUCCAACAGAAUGCUUAGACAUUGCCAAUAUAUCAAAGACCGUUGGGAAUGACAAGGGAAAUCUAAAAUCAAACAAAGGAGCUGAUACAUGCGAAGAUCAUGACAGUGAUGAUGACGAUGCAGACAUCGACUACAAUAUCGAUUGUAGAGGUGGCCUGAAUUACUAGAUUUCUUUUGUAUUACUUUGUCCUUAGACACAUAUUUUUGAUCUUUAAAUAAUAUGCAGGAGUAAUUGAGGAAAUUGAUGAUUCUCUAGAGUUUGACUGUAGUUCCCAGGAGAGUUUAGACACAGAAAGUGAGGAUACCCACUUUGAUGAUUCUGUUGAGCCGGAAACAUGUUCUCCUCACACUGAAUUUCAUAAAGAUGAAUUCACUCAUUCGAAGACAAGUACACGUGCAACAAAGCGUUAUAAAACCAAAAAUUUGAAAAAGGAUGAUGGUAAGAAUAACUUUUAUGUUAACAUUAUUAUGUAUUUCAUUGCUGUGCGUCAAUUUGACAUGUUACAAUCAUUUUUAUCUUUUAAGAUUUUUUUUUUACAAUUUACAGAUUACAUUGAUGAAGGUGAUCCAACAUAUACAUGUUCUCACUGUGGUGCUAUUAUGUGGUAUGGCGAAAGGAUAAAUAAGCGUAAAAAUAGCAAAAAUCCUUCUUUUUCACUCUGUUGUGGACAAGGUCAGGUUGUUUUGCCUCUUUUAAAAGAUCCACCAACAGAACUUAAAAGAUUGAUUGAAGGAGAUGAUCCAAGAUGCAAGCAUUUUCAGAAAAAUAUCAGAGCCUAUAACAUGGUCUUCUCAUUUACUUCUCUUGGUGGGAAAGUUGAAAGAUCUCUAAGAAAAGGUGUUGGGCCAGAGAUGUUUCAAAUGCAAGGAGAAAAUUACCACCUUUUGGGUAGUUUAAAACCACCAGAUGGUAAAGAUGCCAAAUUUGGACAGAUGUACAUCUGUGAUACCGAAAAUGAAGCUGAGAACAGAGCCAAUUGCUUAAGGUAUAAUUUCUCAUUUAAAAAUAUAUCUUCAUUUGUAUUGAACUUCUAUAACUUCUUCCAUGUCAUGAUCGAUAUGGUAUCACAGGAAUUUGAACCUAAUAAUUAUUGUUUCAACUGCAGCCAUGGUAAAAGGAGUUUUAAAGGCAAGCAAAAGGAUAACUUGAGGAAAGAAAUUAUUGAAGUUUUGAUGAAAGUCUUAGAUGAAGUGAAUCCAUAUGUUAAGAACUUCAGAUCAGCAGGAGAACGAUUUAAUACUAAUCCUCAAGAAGCUUUUCAUAUGAGGAUCAUUAGUGAUCGUCUAAAGGAUGGCAGAACAUACAACACACCAACAUCAUCAGAGGUUGCAGCUUUGAUUCCUGGAGAUUUUAAUCUUGAUAUGGAUAAAAGAGAUAUAGUACUUCAGAAACAUUCUGGGAAAUUAAUGAGGAUUAAUGAGAUACAUCCCUCAUAUCUAGCACUGCAGUAUCCUCUAUUAUUUACAUAUGAAGAAGAUGGAUUUAGGCUUGGUAUUCAGAAAGGAGUGACGGAAGCUACUAAGAAGCUGAAGAAGCAGACAAUUAGUAUGAGGCAAUAUUAUGCUUUUCGUCUUCAUGAGCGUAGGAAUGAGUCGCACACUCUUUUAUAUGCUAGGCGUCUGUUUCAGCAAUUUGUUGUGGAUGCCUUCACAACUAUUGAGUCUAACCGUCUACGAUAUCUCAAGUUUAAUCAGUCUACUUUGCGAUCUGAUAGCUAUGACUCUAUCAAACAGUCAGAGACUGCCGGAAAAAUCGAUAUGCAUGACCAAGGAACUGAGUUUGUGUUGCCAGCUUCUUUCACUGGUGGUCCAAGAUACAUGAAGAACAAUUAUUUGGAUGCUAUGACCAUUUGUAAGCAUUUUGGAUUUCCGGAUCUGUUCAUCACUUACACAUGUAAUCCUAAAUGGCCAGAGAUCACCAGGUUUCUAGAGAAAAGAAAAUUGAAAGCAGAGGAUAGAUCAGAAAUUGUUUCUAGGAUCUUCAAAAUGAAACUUGAAUCACUCAUGGAUGAUUUAACAAAGAAGCACAUUCUUGGGAAGACUGUUUCAUGUAAGUAGAUAUUUUUUAUUUCUUUAAUUUCACAGCCAUGUACACUAACUGAUCUUUUAAACCUAAUUUUACAGCCAUGUACACUAUUGAGUUUCAGAAACGUGGUUUGCCGCACGCACAUAUUUUGCUAUUCAUGCAUCCAGAAUUCAAGCUUCCCACCACAGAUGACAUUGAUAAGAUAAUUUGUGCGGAGAUCCCUAAUAAAGACGAAGAGCCAGAGCUAUAUGAUGUGAUUAAAGAUAUGAUGAUGCAUGGUCCUUGCGGAGCUGCUAAUAUGAAUUCACCAUGCAUGGAGAAUGGACAAUGUUCAAAGUUAUAUCCCAAACCAUAUGCUGCGAAAACUACAGUUAAUAGAGAAGGAUUUCCCAUUUACAGAAGGCGCGAGGAGUCUGAAAGAUUCGUGCUAAAAAAUGGGAUAAAAUGUGACAAUCGAUGGGUAAUUCCUUACAAUAAGAAACUGUCUCUUCGUUACAGAGCUCAUAUCAAUGUUGAAUGGUGCAACCAAGCUGGUUCUAUUAAGUACUUAUUUAAGUACAUUAAUAAAGGACAGGACCGGGUGACAGUCGCUGUGGAACCACCUGACCAUGUAAUUAUGAACCAGCUUGAAACCGCAGGAGAAAAUGUAGAGAAAAAAAAUGAAUUCAAGGAUUUCUUCGACUGCAGGUAAUGGACAUUGGUAUAUUUACAUAUCACAAAUUAGAGAUAACUCUUUGGUGAUCAAAUAUUUACUUUAAAAUAAAUCAUUUUUUUUUUGUAGAUAUGUUUCGGUAUGUGAAGCUGGUUGGAGAAUUUUUCAGUUUCCAAUUCACUAUCGAUCUACAGCAGUUGAGAAGCUAAUUUUUCAUCUUCCUGGAAAGCAACAUGUUAUUUUCAAAGGGAAAGAUAAGAUGGAAGCUGUUGUCAAUAGGAAGCGCAUUGAGAAUACUAUGUUCUUAGCAUGGUUUGAGCUGUGUGAAAUUGAUAUGUUUGCUAGAACUCUCCUCUAUGCCCAAAUUCCCAACUUUUAUACUUACCAAAAGAAGCUAAAGAAGUUUACCAGGCGGAAAAGAGGAUUUAGCAUUGGCAGGAUAAAUUAUGCUCCCCGUAAGCAGGAAGAUGCUUAUUAUUUGCGUGUGUUGUUGAAUGUGGUUAGAGGGCCUACCGGUUAUGACUGUUUUAAAACCUUCAAUGGUGUUCUAUAUCCUGAAUACAAAGAUGCAUGUUUUGCUCGUGGGUUAUUAGAUGAGGAUCAAGAGUACAUUGACGAUAUAGUGAGGAGAAGUUUUGAGAGCUUUGGAAGUGAUCUGCGACAUGUGUUUGUUAUGAUGCUGCAUAAUAAUACUUUAUCUAUGCCAGAAACAGUAUGGGAAAAUACUUGGCAGAUUUUGUCUGAAGAUAUUGAGCAUAAUCGGCGGAUUUAUUUCAACAGACCAGGUUAGAACAAUGUAUUUUUGUGUUUGGCUAAUUUCAGAAUCUGUUCAAACGAAAUUGGAUUUGAACAGUAAUUACAACCUGUGCUAAUUUAGAUUUUUGAUCUUUUUGUAGAACUUUUGUUAAGUGAUGAGGAGAAAAAGAAGUUUGCUUUACAAGAAAUUGAGAAGCAUCUGAGGCGAAAUGGGACUUCACUUGCAAACUUUACUUCUAUGCCACAACUUCCUCCUACAGACGAUACUGAUUCAAAUGUUCUCAUAUUAGAUGAGCGGAGUUAUGAUCGUCAAGCACUGGUAGAAACUCUUGAUAGAGACGUUCAGAAGAUGACGGCUGAACAGAGGAAAAUUUUUGAUGAAAUUUUGGAUGCUGUGAAUGAAGAAAGAGGUGGAAUGUUUUUUGUUUACGGAUUUGGUGGUACUGGGAAAACUUUCCUUUGGAAAUUGAUAUCUGCAGCUAUUCGUUCUAAAGGUGAUAUUGUUCUUAAUGUUGCAUCAAGUGGAAUCGCCUCUUUAUUGUUACAAGGCGGAAGGACUGCUCAUUCAAGAUUUGGCAUACCACUUAGCCCUGAUGAGUUUUCUUCGUGUACUAUGGUUCAUGGAUCAGAUCAAGCUAAUUUAGUAAAAGAAGCAUCACUUAUUAUAUGGGAUGAAGCCCCUAUGAUGAGUAAGCAUUGUUUUGAAGCUCUAGAUAGGAGCAUGUCUGAUAUUGUGGGGAAGCAUAGAACUAAACCUUUUGGUGGGAAGGUUGUAGUGUUUGGAGGUGAUUUUCGACAGGUUCUACCUGUAAUACAUGGAGCUGGAAGGGCUGAAAUUGUUUUGGCAGCACUGAACUCUUCUUACCUUUGGGAGCACUGUAAAGUCUUCAAACUCACAAAGAACAUGCGAUUAUUGUCUGGUGAUUUGACACCAGAAGAGGCACAUGAACUUAAGGAAUUCUCAGAGUGGAUCUUAAAGGUUGGAGAAGGUAAAAUUGCAGAGCCUAACGAUGGCGAAGCUGAGAUAGAUAUUCCUGAAGAGUUUUUGAUUAUGGAUUCGGAUGAUCCUAUAGAAGCCAUAAGCAAAGCUGUGUAUGGGGAUAAUGCGUCGUUACAAGAAAACAAAGAACCUAAAUUUUUCCAAGAGAGAGCUAUUCUAUGUCCUACUAAUGAAGAUGUGAACAUGAUAAAUGAAUACAUGUUGGAUAAGCUUGAUGGUAAGAUUUCGGUUUUACUCCUUAACUAACGAAAUUUUUUUUUAUUUUUUGAGGAAUUCUGUGCUGAUUAAGAAUUGUCAUUCCAGGUGAGGAAAAGAUCUACAUCAGCGCAGAUAGUAUUGACCCAAUAGAUAAAAUUUCAAUUAGUGAUGAAGCUCUUGGUCCUGAUUUCUUAAACACUAUUAAGGUGUCUGGAUUACCAAACCACAGUCUUAGACUCAAGGUUGGUUGUCCUGUUAUGGUUCUAAGGAAUAUUGCUCCUACAGAAGGAUUAAUGAAUGGAACGAGACUGCAGAUCACUCAGCUAAUGGAUUUUAUGGUUGAGGCUAGAAUCAUCACUGGAGAAAGAGUUGGAGAGAUAGUAUAUAUUCCCAGAUUGUUGAUACUAGAUUACCUUUUAAAAUGCGCAGACGGCAAUUGCCUUUAGCUGUGGCUUUUGCUAUAACUAUAAACAAAAGCCAAGGACAGUCAUUAUCAGAAGUUGGGCUCUUCCUGCCAAGACCGGUCUUUUCACAUGGACAGCUAUACGUGGCAAUUUCUAGGGUGACGUCAAAAAAAGGUUUGAAAAUAUUGAUUCUGGACAAAGAUGGCAAACCUCAGAAAAAAACCAUGAAUGUUGUGUUUAAAGAGAUUUUCAACAAUCUUGAACAGAGGGAGUGAUGAGGUAUGUCUUUUGAAUAUUAAUUUUCCCUGGACUAUUUUAUUUGUAACAAUUUUACCGUGGAUGCAACUAUAGUUUGGAUUAGCUUAUAUUCCUCAAAUGCAUGUUCCUGUAGUCUAAGAAUGUGUUUGCUCAUUGCAGAUUUUAUCGCAUCAAGGAUAUGGACUCUACUUUCAGAAGUUUGGUAGACUGAAAUUAUUUUCUAUUUUUAGGCACAUUUCAAUUUUUUCCCGAACAACUUCAUUCCUAUAAUAAUGCAUGUCAUUCUAUUCAAUAAAUUUGACUUUUUCAAUUGCAAUCACAAGUAUUCAAGAUGUCCAUGCAACUGCAUAGAAAGGACUAUUGCAAUCACAAGUGUUCAACGAGACUUAUACUAGAAGCAGCCAUAACCUAAACACUAUUGAUAUAGCAAAGUAUAAUCUGAACUCUAAUUCGAUAGGAUUUUAAAUUAUAUGAUUUUAUGAACUACUAAUCUUUGCAUAUCAGUGUGACAAAUGAUGAUGGAGAGAAAUCAUGUAUAUCACUAACCUUCACUUUGUUCUAGAGACUUGAUCAGCGCUUUGUUCUCUGCCACCAACCAGUAAAUUUGCCUCACACCAUACUCUCUUCCUCAAUUUCGGAGACAUUUUCCUUCUAAGUACGUCUGAUACGCAACAGUCGAAUGUCAAAAAAAUUAGAUUAGUACAUUGGAGAGUUCCUGUAACUAUUUUAAAUGUAGAAUAAUAACAUGUGUAGUUGAAUGAUCUCGGGAGAAAACGCAAACAAAUCUCUAAUGCGAUUUGAAAUCAAAUCAAGUAUCAGAAGUAACAAUUGAAUUAUUGAUAAACCCCCAAAGAAUCAAACAGCAAGACAUAUCUUCAGAACUAAAAAACCGCACCAAACUUGUCUAAAUGUUGGAUUGUUAAACUAUAGAAGGUUAACUCACACAAUCUCGGAGCCUAAUCAUAGUAUUCUUCAGGUUUCAGGUCACUCCAACCACCGUCAUUCUGUACAAGGCGUUUGAGCAAUAAGAUCUAACCUGAGUAUAACAAAGAAGAUAGGAGAAAUAAGAGAUAACCUGGUAUCCGAAUGCAUCAUAAUUACGAGGCUGAAUCUUGAUUAAACAGAAUCGUCUUCAUCGAUUCAAUUUUCAGAGGGUAUAUUUUAAUAAUUGAUUCGCGAGAAGAUGAAAGAUCAUCUUGCCGACAGAGAGAGAGAUAGAAGAAACCUUAAUUUGUUAGGUUUAACGUUUUUUUUUUCCCGGAAAAAACUGUUACUAUAGAAUUGGGCCACAUUAUUUAAUUUCCUAAUAUGAUCCAUUUUGAUAACUCUCUUAUUUAUUGGUCCACUAAAAUUUUUGUUGUUUUAUUAUAGUUAUUGGUAUUUAUAGUUUAUAUAUAAUACAUAGGUAAUCAUAUAGUUAUCUCAAAAUAAAUUUAUUGUUCGUUAAUACUAUGGAUAUUUUUUAGACAAUAACAAUCAUAUGAUAGCGAAUAACGUGGACCAUACUUUAUACAACCCAAUAAUUUCAUAUUGGAUAUAAAUUGAUAAUAAUUUUACAUAGUACAGCAAACACCCGCCCAGUCGGGCGGGUCAAGAUCUAGUUGCAUUUAUAACACAUGUGACGACAAUUAUACUUAAUUAUGUCAAUCUAUAUAGAGCAAAUUUGCCAAAUAACAUACUGCUAAAAGUACAAAAAGAAUAUUUAAUUGCCCCCAUUAAUUUUAUCAUGAAUAUGAAAACCUCUCACGAAUAUGAAAAUAGACUAGUAACUUAUAUUCAGUCAUCUCAAUCUUUGGAUACAAGGAAGCCGUCGGUUUCCGACAAAAAGAAGCCGGCGGUCAGAAAAUACUUCCCAUGAUCUUUUUUGUUUGCAUUAUUAAUCGAAUCCAUAUGUUUUCUGUAUAACUACACGUGUACGAUAUCUAAUUGAUAUAAUACCAUUAUACAAGAAAAUCAAAUCAUAAGAAUGUGGACAUGAUUAUGUUAGAAAAGUCGUGAUCGGUUGGGAUUACGUUACAAAGAUGCCUCGCUUAAACUUAAAGAUCGACCUUUAGGUUUGGAGUUUUCUCCGCAUUCCUAAUCCUUCCAAACCCUAGUUUUUAACUAUAUAUCAGUCACAUGUUCACAAUAAUAAUGUAAGAUUAGUUAUUUAGCUCCAAAACGUUAGGCAAUGUACAUAUUUUGAUGGCCGUCCAAAAAGAAAAACAAAACUAUACCUAAAAGCACCGUUAGUGGUGUAGUAUCUCCACAAACUAUUUAGUUAAUUUAAUAUUCACAUUGUUUUUCUGUGUAAUUAAAAUUAAAGAGAGAAAAAACAACUGUAUAUUAUCGGUCAUACCACCCGAGGGAUUAAGAACAUUUUCAUUUCCACUCUAUUUUUUUCCUCUAAAAUGGAGUAAAAAUAAAUAUGAAAUAAAUAGUGAUUCAACCCAAUUUUAUAUCUCAUACUCCAUAAAUAGAGUAAUCUAUUUUUUGUUUGUUCAUCACUUUAUUAUGGAGUGGAAAAUGGAAUAGGGUUAAAACAAUUUUACUUCAUUUUCACUUAUACUCUAUUUUGGAAAAAAAAAUGGAGUUUUACAUUGGAGAUGCUCUAAGUCUAUUUUCACCUACGAUUUUUUAUUAUACACUUUUUCUUUCUAUUUUUUCUAAUUUUUAAAUAAUUUAAUUAUUAGAGAAUUGUGAAAAGAUACCACCGCUGCUCCUGUUCUUAAAACCCUUGAUGUUUUUCAGUUAGUUGUUUUUUUGGUAGAGAGCAAGAAUGAUCUAAGUUGGUGAUCAUUUCGACCAUUGAGCAGUCUUUUUAAAUCACUUGAAAAGUUAAAGUUGAUUAAAUAGCUAACUGCAACAUUUUCUACUUCAUUAAUCAUUAAAUACAGUAUUUGACUAGUGACACAAAUAUCUCAACACAUAUGGUUUAGAUGCCUCGUGACUAGUUUUUGGUUAUAUAUAUUUAAAUCAACUUUGAUCAGUAUAAAAAUUAUUUUGAAAUAAAAAAAUUAUGGGAAAUUAUUACGUUCACGAUUAAUUAUACAUUACAAAUUUAGUUUGUGAGUUGGACCAUUUAAAUAAUAAAAUCAUUAUACGAGAAUAUCUCGUAAUCAAUAAUGGAUUAAAAAUGUUUAUGAAGACACUUUAUCAACUUCGAUUUUUCUUCCUCGUUUAAAUAAUUGAAUAUAACCUCCCCCACUUAGUUUUCCACAUAAAAAGACAAUAGUUUUGCCUGCCUACACCCGAGUGGAGAAAAAAAAGAGAAUCUUAUACUUUCCGAAGUAUUAUCACCAUAAAAAUUCUACAUAGAAAAAUAAAACAGCAUAACAACGACAUCAUUCUUUCAUUAUUAUAUCAAAAAACCUAACACCCUUUCAUUAUUGUUCCCACUGCAAACCAAUUUGCUUCCUUGAAUGGCAAGUCUUUUCUCUUCACCUCUCACCUCACGUUCUCUCUCUCUUCUCAUCAACCUCUUCUUCAUCUUCCUCAUCUAUCUCCAUUUCUCUUCACCAAAUCCUCCUCACUCUGGAUCCAUCAAACACCUGAACUCUCUCGCCGGCGUUGACAGCUGCAGCGAAGGACUCGCCGCCCUCGACGACCACCGUUCCAAGUGUUCUUACAUUAGCUCUCAAGAAAAAUGUGGCCAACAGGGUUACAUAGACUAUCUCAAGAUCUUCUUCUGUGUGUUCGGAGAAUCCCCUGUUUUGGGCCAUCUAGUUUUAUCCAUCUGGUUGUUUGUUCUGUUCUACUUGCUCGGAGACACGGCCGCGAGUUACUUCUGUCCUUCUUUGGACAGCUUGUCUAAGGUCUUGAAGCUGUCUCCCACCAUGGCUGGAGUUACGCUUCUCUCUCUCGGAAACGGUGCGCCGGAUUUGUUCUCAAGCGUUGUCUCUUUCACGAGGUCGAAUAAUGGCGACUUUGGGCUCAACUCUGUUUUAGGCGGUGCGUUCUUCGUCUCUAGCUUCGUUGUCGGGACGAUUUGUUUGUUGAUUGGGUCGAGAGAUGUCUCUAUCGACAAGUAUAGCUUUAUCCGCGACGUGGUUUUUCUACUGGUCGCUCUUUGCUGUCUCGGUCUGAUCGUUUUCGUCGGAAGAGUAACCAUUUGGGUCGCACUUUGUUACAUCUCCAUCUAUCUCCUCUAUGUAGGGUUCUUAUCCGCUUCGCAUUUCUUGGAUCGCAAGAAACCUUUAUCUGAUCAGAUUCUUCGUACCAAAGAGGAUUUAGCCGAGAUGGGCGUCCCAUUCCUCGGCUAUAUCGAUGAGGAGAAGCCACUACCGCCGCAGAAAGUUGUUCAAGAAUCAAGAACUCAAGAACAAGAAUUCAAGAUUGUGAUUCUUGAUUUGCCACCGAAGCAGCCGUCUUGCUUCUCGGUGCUAGUGAGCAUCGUAGGACUACCUCUAUAUCUCCCCCGUCGGCUCACCAUCCCCGUUGUCAGUGAAGAGAAGUGGUCAAGGCCUUGCGCGGUUGUUUCCACAGCCAUCGCACCUGUUCUACUAACCGAACUUUAUUGUUCUCAUUACAGCGGGUCCAAAAGAAGCCUAACACUGUACAUAAUCUCUGGUAUAAUCGGAUUAUUCUUCGGUAUCUUAGCCUACUUGACGACGGAAAAGUCUCGGCCACCAAAAAAAUUCUCAUUGGUUUGGCUUCUAGGCGGCUUCACAAUGAGUGUGACAUGGACAUACAUCAUAGCACAAGAGCUAGUCUCAUUGUUAAUAUCUCUAGGGAAUAUCUUUGGUAUUAGUCCUUCCGUGUUAGGACUAACCGUGCUAGCUUGGGGCAACUCUCUAGGCGAUUUAAUUGCCAACGUGACAGUGGCGGUUCAUGGAGGCAAGGACGGUGCGCAGAUAGCACUUUCCGGGUGCUAUGCGGGUCCGCUAUUCAACACGGUGAUUGGACUAGGCGUGCCACUUGUCAUAACUUCUUUGGCUGAAUAUCCCGGGGUCUAUAUCAUUCCAAGUGACAAUUCGUUGCUUGAGACACUAGGGUUCUUAAUGGUAGGCUUGCUUUGGGCACUUGUGAUAAUGCCAAAGAAGAAGAUGAGGCUUGAUCGGCUUGUCGGUGGAGGGUUACUAGCUAUUUACCUAUGUUUCUUGUUCUUGAGAUUGGCUAGGGUUUUCGGAGUCCUUGAUAUCGACCGGUGAAGUUUAAAGUCUUUGUGAAUUUUGUAAUAGUUGAUUGUUAAAGAAGAAAUUUGCAAAUAGAUUAAAGUUGUGGGUCUUAUUAUUCCAUAAAUUUUAUUUAUUGUGAAUACUAUGAGAGGGAUGGCUAACUUUGUUUGUUGGUGAACAUUCAUCAUCUGUCAAACUUAGUACCUCACUAGAAUUAAGAAAGUAUUGGCAUGUUGUUCCAGGUUCAUUGUUCAUGGAUUGUAAGUAUAUAUUUCUACUACUUACUAAGAUCAAAGCACUGUUGACCUGAUGAUUUUAUUUACCAAGAAUAUCAAACAUUUGAAAAGGUCUAGCAUACUAAGUACUAUAUAUGAACCUCAUGCUAUGUGAACUAAACAACUACUUACUAAGAUCAAAGCACUGUUGACCUGAUGAUUUUAUUUACCAAGAAUAUCAAACAUUUGAAAAGGUCUAGCAUACUAAGUACUAUAUAUGAACCUCAUGCUAUGUGAACUAAACAGUAUAAAUUUACUGGCCAUAUAGUUUUAUAUAAGACUAAAUUCUAUCUUGUAAAUAACGUAUAACUGUUUGGCUGAUUGUGGUUUUGGCUCAACGGAUUAAUUAAAAGAAUAAGAAGAUAGACCUUUGAUUUAAACUAAAAAGUUUCAGUUAGGUAAAAUCAACCGGAAUGAAGCAGAUUUUACCUAAUUAAAUGUAAAGCCCCUAAUCAACUUAUAUGAUAAUAGGGACAUUGCUAAGUGUCACAUUGAAUUUUGAAUUACUAGAAAAGGCCAAAAUUUGGAUUUAUCCUAACUCAAAAGAAACAAUUUGCAGACAAACAAGAACAAUGUGCCAAAUUAUUAUGUACAGGACUCAUGAGAUAAGGAAAUUUAAUAUAAUAGAAAAAACACAUCUUAUCUUAAGUUUUUUUUUUUAAUAAUGCAAAUUGGCUAAAAGGACAAGUAUUGUCCAUUCAACUAACUCCCACACUUCUGGGAAAUGGACUAUAAUAAUUCCCUGUCAAAUAGAUCAAAUAUAUUUCCACGAAGGAAAAACAAAAUACACUAUAAACAGGAUAUAUAUAAGAUUGUGGGUAUGUUUACUGUCCACUGUUCACUUCAUGCAUAAUUAGAAGAUUGUUGUCUCGUCGAGUAUCUGACACCUAUUCAAAUUCUAGCUACUCAAUUUGAAUUCCAUAACUAUAAAAUUCAUUACAUAUUUAUGUGUCCCAUACUCGAGAUAUAAAUGAAAAACUGUACUAUUCAUAUCUCUAUACUACAGAGCCUUUUAUCUUUUAAUGAAUUAAAAGCCAUCCAUAACUCAAGUAGUCAAGUGUAACAAAUCAUUGAUGAAAGUUAAAACUAUAACAUUGUAUCAAUUUUAGACUGUAUCCAUUUAUGACGAAAACUCCUAUGUUAUAAAUCAACAUUGGUCACCCAUACGUGUAUACAAAAUUGAUUCCCUUCACAGCGUAGAAGAUCAUACAAAGUACAAACACAAGUUACAUAAUGAAACUGUGAGUUGAAAUAAAAAGGUUAGUGAGAAUCUCCAACUGUCUGUACAAUUCUUAUAGACAAGGAAGCCAAGUAAAUAAACAAAAGCCCUAUACCCAUCACAGCACCAAGCCUCAUUCUAUUACCAAACAGAACCAAGAACGACCAAACCAGUCCUAUAACCACAAACCCAAGACUCUCCAACACACGAGGAUCCGUCUUAAUCACAAUACUCGACGGAUAAAUCUCCCACGCGCAUCCCACAAGCGACACCCCUAGAGCAAACAACGUAUUAAAGAUAGGACCCGCGUAACAUCCCGACACAGCCACUUGAGCUCCUUCGUCCCCAUCGUGCAGCGCCAUCGUCACGUUGGUUAUAAGAUCUCCUAUAGAGUUCCCCCAAGCGAGAACCGUAAGGCCCAAGAUCGAAGGGCUUACACCGAAGAUGUAGCCUAACGAAGUCAAAAGCGCGACUAGCUCUUGCGCUGAUAUGUAACUCCACGUCAUGCUCAUUACAAACCCUCCUACUAACCAAGGUAGUAACCACUUCUUUGGCGGGUUUGACUUCUUCGUCGUGGCUCCUGCUACAACACCGAGAACUAUACCGACCGAACACCCGGUUAUAUACACAACCCCUGCCUCGAAGCUUGUCGGAUUCCGCUUCCAGUUCCAUAAGAAAGACAACAGAACCGGAGCAAACGUAACCGAAGCAACAGCUAUCGGUUUAGACCAUCUCUCUUCACUCACAACAGGAAUAGUCAAUCUCCUCGGCAAGUAGAGAGGCAAAGUGAUAACCCAAACCACUAACUUCCAGUAACAUCUCCCAUCAUCAGCAGCAACAACAACAACAACAUCUUCAUCAAGAUCAUCUCUCUGCUCCAAGAUUGGUUCACCAAGACUAUUACUACCCCUUUUAUGAACCGACUCAACAUCAAACGCACAGCUCUCUCCACCAAACCUCCAAGAUAGAUACACAAAGACAACAUAAACAGCGUACAACGAACAGAACCCAAGAGCUCCCCAGAGAUUAAUCUUCCCAUAGACCAAGAUCAAAGCUAAUGAACCAACCGCAGCGCAGAAGAAGCAAACGUCUCUUAUAAAAGCAGACCUCUCGACCCUAACCCUUCUCCUAUGCAACGAAACGCUAAUGAUCCCAACCACUACGCAGGUAACAAAAGAAGACCCUCCAACAACAGUGUUGAGACCAACAUCGUAAGUUCCCUUUGACUCCCCCAUGAAAGAGACCAAACUCGCGAACAGAUCAGGAGCGCCGUUACCGAGAGAGAGGAGAGUCACACCCGCAACAGUUGGAGAUAAAGUUAAGAGCUUUGAGAGAGACUCGAGAGACGAACAGAAGUACUCAGAAGCUGUGUGACCCAAGACGUAGAAGAGGACGAGAAGCCAGAGGAAGAGGAGGGACUGACCCAGUAAUGGGAAUCCAUCGAAGUUGCAGUAGAGGAAGGAGAGGUAGUCGAUGAAGCCUUGGCUCGCGCAAGGGUCGAUGGAUUUGAGGUAAGCGCACUUUGAUUUGUAGUCGUGGAAGUGAUUCAGAGCACUGCAAUUGUUGUCUGAUUUAGGUCUCAGGGCGCUGGAAUCAACGGGGCUUGUGAAGAGGAGACAAGAGAAGAGGAUGAGGAAUGAGUAACCAGAACGAACUGAAGAAAAUGGAUAUCCCAUCAAUCAAGUGAAACCUGGAACUCGAGAAAAAAACAGAGCAAACCGGAUCAAAAACAGAGCAAACCGGAUUAAAAACAGAGCAAACAGCAAAGGUGAGAUUUUUACGAAGGAAAUUAAAAUAUAUUUAAUGGGUUUGCUUCAACAGAUCAUGAAACGAACUUAACGCGGAGAGAGAGGGAGAGAGGAGGAUAAAGCACUGACCUUUAAUAAGAUUUGGAUAAAGCAAAGAAGGAAGGAAUCUACUGGACUACGGAAGAGUUCUCGCGGGGAAGAAGACACGCACACCCACAAACACACACACACUUGAAGCGGACCUGUUGAAGACAAACGUCAGGAAACAAAGAAUCCGAAUUGUAUUUUAGCUUUUUUUAAAUAUAAAAAUUGUCAUUACCCUUUUGGGGGCAUCGGUGUAUAUGGAAACGAGCAUAUGUGUCGCCUUCACGAUCGACCUUGCGUCACUGUCCCAUUCCAUUACGUUUUCAAGGAAAGGGAUAGGAAGACGAGGCUUUAUUAGCUUUUCCACAGUUAAACUAUUAUUUUAAGAAGCCGACCAGCAUAUCUUUUUGUGCUUUUUGACUAUGAAGACAUUCUGGUUUUGUUUGUUGUUAUCAAUAACCGAUCUAAAUCAAACCGGUUUAAGAUUCAAACCGGAAUUGCUCGUUGAAUUUGCUGGAAUUACAAAAUGAGAACGGUAUGUUUUAACUUAUACCGGAUAUAGUUUAGUCUUGAAUGUUUUUAUUUAAAUUAUUAAUGAUGUUUUGAUGACAAGAUAUAACAUUAAUUUUGAUGUUUUGAUGAAAAUUAUAGAAUUUCGUUUUUACUUAUUUGCUGGUGUUUCAUUAUCUGUGUGAACUCUUUCUACUAGUCAUUAGUAAUAGAGCUUAGAUCACCGACUCUAGUCUGUUACGUCCCCAGUUCCAUAAUUUAGGAUAGCUUGAAAAUGUAUUAACAAGAAGAAAUUAAUAGUCUAAUGGCAUUCUAAUUGAAUGGGAGACUAGUAACUUCUAAAUUAAUUUACACAUUGAAUGUGAAAUUUUUAUUUAUAGAUAUUACAAACAGGUUGAGCCAGCAACAAUAAUCAUAAGCAAAACUGCAGACACAAACAGAAAAUAAUUUUUUUUAAAAGAAUUCCAAUAUAUAAAAAAAGAUUGAGGAAAUAUAUUUAGAGUGUCCACAUAAAUAUGAAAAUUCAGGCCGAUUAGAUUCUCAUAACUUGUCAUGUCAGCUCUAUUUAGACAUCUCAUUCUCCGCGAAUUAGUCUUAAGUUAAAGUUACAUUUUCUAGAUUAAUGGCAAAUAUAAAUUAUAAUAUUUUGUCUAAAAAUAUUUUAACGUUUUAAGUAGAUAUUAUGUUUGAAUCAUCAUUUAAUUAGAUGUAUAAUUAAACUCAUUCUCUCUAAUCAAAGUAAUUUUAUAUGAUUUUUUUCAUUGUGCACAUUUAUGAUUCAAUGGACAUCAUUGAACAUCAUAACAGUAAACAACUCUGAAAUUUGUUUACUCUGAACAUUGUGAGUAAUUUUUCGGUUCGGGUUUUUCGGAUCAGUACUAUUCAUUUAAAAACUUUAACCCAUACAUUUUUUUUUUCAAAUUUUUGAUUUAAAAAAACGUCUCUCAGUAAUUAGAAUUUUUGGGACUAACAACGAGAAAUUUUAUAUCGAAAUACAACUUUGAUAUCAAAUUUAGUAUAUGGCAAAGUGAAAAUGGAAAAUAAUAAACACAAGAACUUAAUAUUGUGCAGUAUUUAAAGUUAAAUGCUACAAAAAGUUAUAAUUAUCUUAUUAGAUAAUCUAUAAUAAUCUAUAAAUCGUUUUGACAAAACAUAUUUUAAAAUAGAAAAUCUUUUAAAAUUUAAUAUUAAACUGUUUAAAUAAAAAUAUUAUUAACUCUUUUGAAAUCAUAAACCAGUAACUUAAAAUAAAAUAAAAAAGCAAAGCAUGCAAAAAAAAAACA
rnacentral:lncRNA from 1 species